rnacentral:lncRNA from 1 species
UUUGCCAAAUCUCAAGUAGAUUACAUACUAGGGUCUAACCCUAUGAACAUGAGUUACUUAGUGGGCUAUGGUUCUAAGUACCCUAUUAGGGUGCACCAUAGAGGUGCCUCCAUAGUAUCAUACAGAGAAAACAAAGGGUUCAUUGGUUGCACCCAAGGCUAUGACAAUUGGUAUAGUCGAGUGGAGCCGAACCCCAAUGUGUUGGUUGGAGCAUUGGUCGGUGGACCAGAUUGUCGAGAUAAUUUCAUGGACCAAAGAGAUAAUUAUAUGCAGACCGAGGCCUGCACAUACAAUACAGCACCAUUAGUUGGGGUUUUUGCAAGAUUGUUGCAAUUAGAGGAAAACCUUGAAGUAGAAUUGGUUGCCUCUUAUUAGAUAUACAAAAUAUAAUCAAAUGAUAUUAUAUAGUGUUGGUGGUGAGUAUUUUAAGACACCCUUUUUUUUGUGUGGCUGAACUAAAAGGUGUUCAAUGCCACUAACUAUUUCACCUUCAAUUUUGUUGAAUGUUUAUAAUAGUGAAAAAAAUAUAAUGUUCGAUAUAUGUUUUAUCUUCUUUUUUUUUUUUAUUAUCUGUCAGUUCGUUUUUAACAUGAUGGGUUUUUGGUGUUCGACGAAUUGUCUAAAUGAGCAUAGUGUCAACUGUAACUCAAUUUCGUUGAUCCAUUUACUGCCCUUACAAGUUCUCAAGAUGAGACGUGUUCAUGGCCCGAUUGCCUUGGUCCGCUUUGGAUUAGAUUUGAAUUUAUAGUUUUUAAUUCUAGUUUGGUUUGUUUUACUAUUUAUAAAUAAUAAAAUUAUAAAAAAAAAAUAAUUUCUAUUAAUUGUUGAGGAAAGGUGAGCUGAUGGAGUUGAGUGCUCACUGUAGAGUGCCACUAAGGCAGUAAAAUUACCCCUCAUAUAUUUAACAAUUUACAAAAAAAAUCUUUGAACCAGUGAACGUGUUCAUAUUUUAAAAAUAUUAUAGUUUAUUUUUACAAAUCAAUUCGUGACUAUUAAAGAUGAGAUUGGAUUAGAGUGAACCAAUUCAACCCUUAUUAUGUGGAGUGAUUUAAUUAAGAUUGUUGUGUUGCUGAUUUUUAGAGACCAUAUAUUCGAUAGAUUGUGUUUAGAAUGUUUAUAUUGUAAUAGUUAUUUUUAAGAAGUUACUUUGUAUUCACUUAUAUUUUAUGUUAGCAAACCGAAAUUGAUAUAUGCUAUGAAACUUGUCCAAGUUAUUUUUGAGAGUUUAUUGGGAACACUUUAAUUUAUUCAUUGAAUAACUGUUUUCUGAGAGUGCAAAGUGAAUUGUAAACAUUGAGUAUUUAUUGCCCAAGUUCUUAGGAGAGGAUUUGGAGAUGAGUGUUCUAGCAUUCAGGUAUAAACUUGAGAUCUCUAUACUUACAGAGUGAUAGAGUGUGCGGUUCAAUUGUUGUAUUGGUGAAUAAAGAGAGCAAAAUUACUCACUAAAUUAAGUUUUGCACAAUUUUUGCAGUACCAAACCAUAGUGAUCAUUGUAGUCAAACACUUUUAUUAAUUAUCUUGAUUUUCAAUUAACAACAACUAUAAAUAGCAACAUUAAUGUCUAUACGUUUUUGAUAAUUUUUUUUUUUUUAAAAACAUAGAAUAGAGAAGGGAGCUUUUUGCCGCAGGCUUACGAAAUUUCUAGAAUUGGAUCUUGGUCUAGCUUGGUGUGACACUGAAUACAUUUACUCAUGAGUCAUAAAUCGUAAUCCAAUUCAAUCACCCCAACCUUUAAUUUAGUAGGAUAACUAUAGAACAACUGAUUUUUUAGUGGUGUUGGAAAUAAUAAUUUUGGGAUCAUAAUUUUGAUUAGUAAAUUAGUAAAUAUUAUAUAUUUAAUAUUUACGUGCUUAUUAUAAUGCCGUUUUAGAGUUGAGUUUGAUAAUUUUGAUGUUUGACUAGUUAAUUAAGAAAAAAAAUAAUUAAAUCGUAAAAAUUGUAAAAGUUAAUUGCUAUCGUAAUUGAAAGGUUUUAGGUAGAAAUUAGACCCUAUUAGUUUAAGUGCACGGUAAGUGCUUUCUAAUUAAUAAAAUUAUGUUAAAAAUGUUAUUAUUAUAAUUUAGUAAAAACAUAAACAAAAAGGAAAAGAAUUACCGUCUUUUAGUUUUGCUUUCUUCCACCGUCCAACCUAGAGAAAAAGAAGAACCACCAUUGUUGAGAGCUUCAAAAACAAUCGGCUUUGCAUGUAAGUUGAUUCUAAGUCUGUUUAAUUUAGCUAGUUCAGGGUCUAUUUCGUAAAACUAUCAUAAGUUUUGAAACUUUUCAUUAAUGGUUUUUAGAUGUUUAUGAGGUUAAAUGAUAGAUUUAUGAGUUUGGUUGUUAAAUAGGACUAUUUUGUAAAGUAAUUUUAGUUAAAUUUGAGUUUAGGGAUUAAAUUGAUAAAAUAUUGAAUUUAACAAGGAAUUUUUGUAAAAUUUAGUUACUUAGGGGUUGUUAAGGGGACUAUAUUGAAUUUGGCACUAAGGUUUUGGCUUAAUUGUGAAAAAUAUGUAAGUUUCAGUUUUAGGGACUAAAUUAAAUAAAAUAUAAAAGUUUAAGGUAAUAAUGUAAAAUAUUACUUAAGGGUCAUGUGCAUGCAUUUUGACAUUACAAGGUAAUUGAAGUCGAUAAUUGAAUUAACUUAUACUAUAGAUUAAGAAAUAGAUCAACAAGAUAGACAAACGCGAAAAAGGAAAAUUUAUUAAGUAGUCCUUGGUUUCGUGUUUGUUGUUGAUUCGAUUUAGGUAAGUUCGUAUAACUUUUAGUUUGAAUUAUAAUUGACUUGAGAUUUGGUAUGUAUGUAUAUCUGGUAAUGAGUGGUUAUGGAAUGAUAAUUUUGAAUGCUAGAUGGACUAAAUUGUGAAUUAUGGUAUAAAUGAGAUAUAUGAUUGGAAAAUGGGAAUUUAUACGGCUGAAUUGAUGAAUAUGUUAUAAUGUUUAAGGACUAAAAAUAUGGAUAUGAAUUAAGGGCCGUACGAACUUUGUGAAUGACUAGGAUGUAAAUGACAUGUCAUUAGAGUUAUUACUGUUUCGAGUGUUAGUUUUGAAUGUUUUACCGAUGGCUAAGGUCCUGCAUUUGUUGUAGAUUCUUCACAGCUCGUGUGAGCAGUAUCGUGUAAUGUUAUCAUCUCGACCCAUAGCUCGUAUGAGCAAGCCCAUUUUCGCAGCUUGUGUGAGCAUUAUAUUCACAGCUCGUGUAAGCAUCUCUAUCCUUAGUAUCCAAUGUUAUUUCGCUAUAGUUCAUGAGGUAAAAGCAGGACAUAUGGAAUGGAAAUGAUAGUAUAAUUUGUUAUAAGUGGAUGGUGACAUAUGUACACUUGAAUAUGGUUCAUAAGCAUCGCAAUGUUUUUAUGUUUAUAUUGUGAAGGAAUUAACCUUGUCGGUAUGUGAUUUGCAUAGGCUAUUAAAGAAUACCAUGUUACUUAAUUGUAUAAGUCGUAUGUUCAAUGCUUGAGUUACAUUAGACUCGAGUAAGUUAUGUUAAAUUUUGUAUGAAUUUACUAAGCAUUGAAUUGCUUACAUUUGCUUUGUUUAAUUUCUUGUAGAUCAUCAGAAGUUUUAUAAUCAGUUGGAAUCAAGUCGGAACUCACACUAUCGGUUCAACGACGAUAAUAAUUAUACUAUCGGAAGUUAUUGAGACUAAUUUGUUAUUGUAUAAAAUAAAUUUAAAUGAUUACUUAACAAACUAUAUUAAGCUCGUUAGGAUGAAAAAUAUACGUAUAUAGUUAUUCAAGGCUUGAUUAAAUCUUGAAGGCAUACUUGUCUUCAACUUCAAGAAAACAUUACUCUUUUACGUUGGAAGACAAAAUUUAGCUUUUAUCAACCUUUUCGAUUUAGAGAUUUUUUUUUAAAGUUGGGGUUUAUGUUAUUUAAUUUAAAAAUAAUUAUAAUUUUUUAAAAAGAUAUAAAUGUUUUUAUAAUAAUAAUUUUUAUUUUUUUUAAAUGUUUAUUUUUAAAUAUUUUCUAACAAGUUGAUAUUUAAUUUAUUCAUGACAUCGAUUUAGUUAAAAACUUAAAUAGUACUAGAUUAUGGUACAAUCAGUAAAAUAUAUAUAUACAAAACAUGGUUUUAAUUGAAAUGCCAAAAUAGAAAUGUUUAGUGUGUGUUAUUUAUUAGAUUUAAAUUAUUUAUUUUAUAGAUUUUAUACAUAAAAAAUAAAAAAAAGUUACACUCAUCGUAGUAUCUUUUAUUUUUUUAAAAAAUAGAAUGAAUUUUUAAUAAAAUUUUAAGUAAAUUGGUGUUUGAUUAAUUAAUAAUACCAACUCAGCUCAAUUAAGGAUUUAUUUAAUUUAUAUUAUUUGUAGUUGUAAUUAUUGUUUUUCUUUAAUUAAUUUUUAGGAAAGAAAGAGAGCAUAGCUCUUAAAACAAUAGUGUUUCUACUACACAAUCUCUCUACUUUAAAACUAAUUAAAAUAAAGAUAUAAUUAAUUGAUAGUUAAUAAUAAAUAGACAAAGUAUUAAAAUUAAAAAUAAUUAAUAAUUGGGUAAACUACAAAAAUAGUCACUUUUGUUUGCCUCAGGUUACAUUUUAGUCACUUAUGUUUGAAAUGUUACAUUUUAGUCACUUAUGUUAUUACUUUGUUACGAAGUGAUCACUCUUCCGUUAAGUUCCGUUAUCUCCCUAACGGUAAUCCUACGUGGCAGUCUAACUAGAUUUUAUGUGCCAACUUGGAUUUCCUAAUGGGAUGAGAAUAGAUUUUUAAUUAAAUAAAUUUAAUUAAUUAAAAAAUUUAAACCCUAAAUCUUAGUUAAAAAACCGUUCAUCUCCCCCACUUGCGUUUUUGCAUCUUUAAUUUCUUGAUUAAUUGGUGAGUUCUUUUCAUUCUUCAAUCACUUAAUGCAUCGUUUUGUUUCUUUAAUGUUUAAUGUUAUAUUGAAUUCAUUGUUAAAGAUUGUUUAUUUGGCCUAUUCUUUGAAUGAGAGACACAUGGAUUUUAAGUUUUGAAUUGACUGUUAAAGUGUCUCAAAAGCUUGAAUUCCCAGCUUUUUUUUUUAACUUUACCGGGGUUAACAAUUUUUUUUAAAGCCUGAACUUCUUCUUUUUUUGCCAUUGAUGUAGGGUGUUGGAAUUCACUGUUUAACGAUUCCCAGUUAUUAAAGCAUGAAUUCACUGUUAAAGCGUCUCAAAAGCUAUGAACUCUUUUUUUGCCAUUGAUGUAGGGUGUUGGAGAUUCAUACUAAUUUACAUGUGAUUUAAGUUUUUAGAAAAAUGGGUAAUUUUUUAGGGUCAGAAUGGAUCCCUCAAAGCAAGAAACAAACUAAAAAAAAAAGCUUUUAAACCGAUGGCUAGGAAGGAAACCCAAUAAUUCCAAUUUAUUGUUUACAAUACCAUGACUCAGCAAAAAGAGGUUUUCAAGCCCAAAACCCCUGGAACAGUUCACAUGUAUGUCUGCGGUGUCACUGCCUAUGAUUUCAGUCACCUUGGCCAUGCUCGUGCUGCCGUUUCCUUUUAUGUCCUUUACAGGUGCAUAAUUUGUCUUAGAGAAACCCCUUAAAGAAAAUUAAAAAAAGGGGGGAGAUGAACGGUUUUUUAACUAAGAUUUAGGGUUUAAAUUUUUUAAUUAAUUAAAUUUAUUUAAUUAAAAAUCUAUUCUCAUCCCAUUAGGAAAUCUAAGUUGGCACUUAAAAUCUAGUUAGACUGCCACGUAGGAUUACCGUUAGGGAGAUAACGAAACUUAACGGAAGAGUGAUCACUUCGUAACAAAAUAAUAACAUAAAUGACUAAAACGUAACAUUUCAAACAUAAGUGACUAAAAUGUAACACGAGACAAACAAAAGUGACUAUUUUUGUAGUUUACCCUUAAUAAUUAAAUAAAAAAAUUUCUUAAAUAUAAAAUUUUAUUUAGUCAUUGUUUAUAAAAUAAAUUGUUAAAAGAUAUUUAUUUUUUAAAAGGGAUUCAAACUGAAAAUUUAAGAAUAUUAAAAAAUAAUAUAAAUUUAUUAAAAAAUAUUUUAUGAAAUACCUAAAAAUUAUUCAUAAUUCUUCUCUAACCUUUAAAUAGAAAAAACAAUGCAAUUCAAUGCACUCAAACUACAGUUCUUUUACACUGAUAAAUAUAAUAAAUACUUUUGGCCAAAAAAAAAAACUCCAUGGAUAAGUAUAAUACUAAAUCUUAAAGGGAAAACGCAGUCGUUUUGGAGACUCCAAGUUGCAAACGGAAAAACGCAGAGAUGAAAAUCUACUCAAAAUCAAAUACAAAGCGAAGCGCUUUAGUUAAAAGGAGACGAAAACUAAUUCAGUGAGUUCAUUGAUUCCUCUAAACUCAGAGAAAAUUCGACAAUGGAGCACGAAACACAUCGGCAAGGAAACCCUACUGACCCAAACGCCGAUCAAAACGCUGCUUUGAUCAAUUCUUUCAUUGAAAUCACUUCUUCUUCUAAAGAAGAAGCCCUUUUCUUUUUGGAAUCUCAUCAGUGGGACUUAGACGCCGCCGUUUCGACUUUCCUUGACAGCAAUUCUACCGCCGCACUACAACAACCACCGAUCGCACCACCUGUUUCUGGCGCUGGUGGUGUUAACAACUCUGCUUCUCCUUCACAGUCCGAUUCCCCUGAUUACUCUCCCUCUCAAUCGCCUUCUCGCUCUCGUUCUCCUUCUCCUGCUCGACCGGCUCGUCCUCCUUAUGCGCUUCGGUCGCGCCGUAACGAUAAGAAGCCGUCUGGUAGCGGUGGGAAUAACGCUCGUGGAGUUCGAACCCUAGCUGAUCUGAACCGGACACCUCCUGGUGGGUCCGAUAGUGAUUCUGAUGAAGGACAGGAUUAUUUCACCGGCGGUGAAAAAAGGUUUAAUUUCUUACUUUGGAUUUUAAUUUUUUUUGUUAGGGAAAUAUAAUUUUUUUUUAAAUUCCUUAUUUGGGAAUGAGCAGUGGGAUGGUGGUUCGAGAUCCUUCGAAGCAUCGUGAUGUGGAUUCGAUUUUUAAUCAAGCGAGACAAGCUGGAGCGGUUGAAGGAUCUGACGAUUACUUCCGGCCAUCGUCUUCGAACACGAGAAGCUUCAGUGGGACGGCGAGAUUACUCUCCGGAGAAACCGUGGCACCUCCUCCUCCUCCGCCACCUGAAGUUGUCACUCACAAUAUUACUUUUUGGAGGAAUGGUUUUACAGUUGAUGAUGGGCCUUUGCGUCAGCUGGAUGAUCCUGCCAAUGCUACCUUCUUGGAGGUAAAUACUAAUAUAUUCUGAUAUUUUAUAUAUAUGCAUUGUAUAUAUAUAUUUGCUUGUUUGAUGAAUUACAAGGCUUUAGUUCUUAGGUAUAUUGUAUAUAUAUUUGUGUUUGGUAAUUUCAAGAAUUUAGCUGUCAAAGACUUUAGGAUUGUGUCCUUUAGAUGUUUGGGUUUUAUAUCAAUUAGCUUUUGAGAUGUAAUGUUGUGACAGUUUCUCGGGACUAAAGCUUUUUGGGUUUUACCUGCCUUUUUAGGUGUUUUGCUCUUAGUCGAUUCGAUAUUUGAUUUUGGACCUUGGGUUUAUUUGCUGCUAUUUCUCUAUGUUUGUUAGUUGAUUCAGCAGUUGAGUAAUGGAAGUUUCAUUCAUAGAAAUCGAGGUGGUUACAUGUUUGAAUAAUCUUUUAGCUUUCAAGAUAAGUUCCAUCUUAAAAUGCUAUGCUUGUGAGUUUGCUUCUCUGCCUGUGCUUCUUGUUCAGUAUCUCCUUACACUAAAAUUGAGGCGAUUACAUGUUUGAACAAUCUUUAGCUUUUGAGAUAUGUUCGAUUUUAAAAUGUUAUGCGUGCGAGUUUGCAUCUCUGCCAAUGCUUCUUGUUCGGUAUUUGCUUACUCUAGAAUUGAGCUGAUUACAUGUUUGAACAAUCUUUAGCUUUCGAGGUAAGUUUGGUUUUAAAAUGUUAUUCAUGUGAGUUUGCUUCUCUGCCUGUGCUUCUUGUUCAGUAUAGAAUGCUAUAUGCUUACUGUAAAAUUAAGGUUAUUACAUGUUUGGAUAAGCUUCAUUUCGAGAGAAGGUUGGUUUUCAAGUGUUAUGCAUGUGAGUUUGCAUCUCUGCCAGUGCUUGUUCGUAUAGAUUGCUUUAUGCUUACUCCUAACCAUACUUCAAUGCAGAGUGUGAUGGGGUCUCAAUGUCCAAAAGAGCUCGAACCAGCUGAUCCAAGAACAAAAGUGGAUCUUCACCUCUUUAGACGGGAUGAAAACUAUUCCGUGCGUCCUUUAUUUCUCCUCUUAUAAGUUAUUCGUAUCUAUUCUUUUGCCUGUUUCUGCAUUUACGUUCCUUUCAUACUUUUUUUUUGCAGGAACCAAAGAGACGCCAAAGCGCGUUUCAAGGUGUUGGAAGAACCCUAGGAAGUACCAGCCCUAGCACUACCCCCUCUGAGUCAACUACUGCAGCCGGUAAUAUCACCACUGCACCAGCGCCAUCAAUGGGCCUGGUUGUGGAUACAUCAUUGCCAACAACCUCUAUUCAGCUGAGGUUAUCGGAUGGUACGCGCAUGAUCUCACGAUUCAAUCACCAUCAUACGAUCAGAGACAUCCGUGGCUUCAUCGAUGCAUCACAGCCUGGCGGAGCAACAAACUAUCAGUUACAGACAAUGGGGUUCCCUCCUAAACAGCUCACUGAUUUGGACCAAACAAUAGAGCAAGCCGGCAUUGCUAACUCUGUUGUUAUCCAGAAAUACUAGCCCAAGGUUUUAUUUUUAUUUUUAUUUUUUCCCUUUGUUUCCCAUUUUAUUUCAAUGACUCCAUGCAAAACAUUAUGUGCACAUUGAACAUUAUUCACGAAACUUUGCCCUCUUUAUGUUAGAAUUGUUUUAGUUGCUAUAAUAGCAACAUUGUCAACUAAUGGUUGUUGGAAGCAAGACGGUGGAAGAAGGAAUCGGUUGGUCCGGUGGUCGGACUGCUUAUAUAUAUAACUGGAUGUUAAUCAAAUUGCUUCAAACUGGGCUGGGUUGAAUCGAGUGUUUGUGUUUAAAUGAGGGUUGUUAUUUGAAAUAUGUAUUAGGCCUAUUAUUUUAAAAGUUUAGCUCAAAUUUUACAUUUCAACCCAACCCAAAAACUUUACAUCUUUGGAAUAAAAAAACUACAGCUGGUAAUUUUAUAUCUGAAUUUAUUUUUAAUUAUUUAUUUGCAAUUUAUUUUCAGCUGUACGAAUUUGAUCUUCUUAACUGCAUUUUCUCAAAAUGUAGUCAAACCAAUCAGAUUUUUAAAAUGUACCGAUUUAAUAUAGUUUAAAACAAAUCAGUAUGUUUUUUGUUAGAUUUAUUGUUCAGUUACUUCCUUCAUUUAUUUAUUUUAAUUAUUUGUGUUUAUAUUUUUCUAUAAAUUUAUAGGUUUUUCAAUUUUUUUUUAAAAAAGCUUGAAAAUUCCAACAUGGUUAAACUUGAUUGAAUCAAAAACUCAAUUUAAUGGUUGAAACUAAUACACUAAACUGGCUAAGAUGUCUAAUAAUUUGACAAAAUCAUUUGAUGAGUUGGAUUUAGCUUCAACUCCAUUUCAUCUUUUGUCUGAACAAAACAAUUGAUAUUUAAUAAAAUGUUGAAAAGUUAAAAUCUUGAUUAAUAGUUCAAGUGCAUUAAAUAUUAUAAAUUUAGAUUCUGAAAAUAUAUUAUCAAUUGAUUUACCAGUUAAUAUACACAAUAGCAAUUUCAUUAAUUUUGAAGACCCCAAUGAAAUGGAAUUUCCAAACAAAGUAAAGUCAUUUAUUACCGAAUCGGAAUAAAUCCUACCCGAUUCACGAUGAUAUUAAAAAAAAAAAGAACAUUAAUUGUAUGGUUGUUGGUAUGUAAUAAUGUUGCUAUUAAAACCCACCAUUAAAGACCUGGUCACAGUGAGUCAGGAACUGAGUGAACCCCCCUUGAAACACACUCUCCACACAUUUAAAAAAAAAAAAACCAAUUUCAAAAACGUAAAACACACACACACACACACACACAUUGGGUUUCGUGUUUUAGCUUUGAAUUCCAAAUCAGAAUCGCAUUCAGUGCCAAGCAAGUAACAAGAAAAAAUAUGAUGGUUCACAAAGCUGCAAUAAUAUUCUCUCAUCGUUCAUUUUCCUAGAUAAACUGGGUUCAAAGCAAAUUACGUUGAAACUACGUUCAUGUACAUAUGAUUAUAUGCAUAUUAUUUAAGAAAAAUCUCGAGUUUAAUCUAUUAAAUCCAUGUCUACCUUCUGUACAAUAUCUCUAAAGCCUUCUAAACAAACUAAUUCAAGGUAUAAUAAUUUGUGAUAUCGUCACUGAUAUCAUCCAAAAAGAUGCUUAUACAGCAUUUUAAUAAAAAAAGAAAAGAAAUAGAGAGAGAUAUUAUCUGCAACUUUUUUUGUUCUUGAAUUUCAUCGCUUGUUGUGUAAUGGAUUCGAACCAGUUGGAACCCUUCGUUUUUCUUCACCGAAUUGCAUGCUGCUGGGUGGUUGGCCUUUGAAACCGGUUGGUUGAAAAACAUGUCGACGAGGUUGUCUGCUAUGUGAAACAGUACUACCAGAUGAUGCUGUUUUGAUCUUGGAAGUAAACAAGAAGAAAAUAAGAACAAUGGAGCAAAGCUGAAAGCGAUUCAUGGUGUUUUCUUUUGAGAGGGAUUUCAAGGUACUAUAAUGGUAAAAGCCAGGGUUGAUAUUAUUAUAUAAUAUAUAGAGCAAAGCAUAUUGGUCCAUAUAUGUUAUAUAUAAUUGGUGAUUUUUAUGUUUGUGGUAGGGUCAUGGGAUUGGUCACCGUUGGAUUAAGAUCAUGUGGUAGAAAAACGUGGUGACUGGCUGUGACGGUGGGGUGCGGUGGUUGCACCAUUGAAUAAGGGGGUGGUGGGAGGGUGGAUAAUGACACUUGAAAUUUUCCACAUAUAAAUUCUUAUGUGAGGAAAAGAAAAAAAACACUUGGAGUGCAGGGGAAGUGAAGGGAUUUGCCAUUGUUGUGACUUUGAAUUUCCUAUGUCUACCAUCUUUUCUUCUCUACUACAUUUUGGUUAUUAGACACCGAUCAAAAAUUGAUGUAUUAUUAUUUGAUUCGUUAACAUUAUAUAAAAUAUAAAGGUUAAAAUUAAAAUUACUCUCAAAAGCUCUAUUAAUUUUAUGAUCCACCACUUCACUCUUUCUCCAACUUAUCAUUACCAAGUUUAAUUUUUGUCUCAACCUUCUUUUGGUACAUUCCAUUAAGAGGUACUUGCAAUGAAUUUAAGGUUCCAACUUCAGUAUUUACAACAUUUUCUUUAUAUUGAUAGAGUAUAAGCUUGCCCAAAAGUAAUUGCAGCAGCAUGAAUGCAUAAAAUUUGUCAAAAUAAAGAUGGAAAAGAUCUGGGUAUUUCUUACAAAUAAAAAAUUGACAAGUGUUGUCUUAUAAUUGUUGGGAUUUCCCCAAUACUAUAUAUAUAUAUAUAUAUGCUUCUGGAAGAACAUUCAACUGCCAAAAAACCAGUUGAAAAACCCUAGCUUUCAUGACCAUGUUAAAAAAAUCAUAACAACCUUUUUAUCUUUAUUUUAGUCUUGUUGAAGUCUUUUCAAUUCUUACUAAAUAAGUCUAUAAAGUGUUGUUGGUAUAGAGUCAGUAAUCCCUUUAACAAAUCUUUAACAAGUAUGCUUAAGUAUCUAAAUAUUCGAUUAAAAAACCGAAUCACAUACAUUGCACAUAGUUGACUUGAACUUGUAUCUUAUAGCAUGUAGGUUAAUUAUGAGGGAGAACGCUAACAACUUUGAUUGGUAGGUUCGGACCAUCAACAAGUCUCAUUAUUAUGUAUAUUCAUACUCUAUCCGUCCCACUAAAAUCUAUCAUAUUUUAACUUUUGAUGGCCAAAUUUUUAAAUUUUAGAUUUCCUUUUAUUUAAGAUUUAUUAUCGAUAAAAAAUACAAAAAAUAUAUUUUAAAAACUUAAAUGAAAUAAUUUUUAAAUAUCUUGCUCAUAUAAUUAAUUAUAAUAUUUAACAUAAUUAGCACCAAGGUUUAAAAUUUUGAUCUAGAAAGAUAUAAAAUGACAUUUUAAUUGAGAUAAAUGAAAAUAUUAUAAUUAUUGAUAUUGAGUACAACAAGGGAAGAGGACAAGAAGGAACAAGGACAAGAUCAAGGUGGUGCAAUAGAGACUAGUUCACCUGUAGAGGCUGAAAGUCGAAACAAUGAUAAGAGAACAGGCCGAUUGAAAGGGCAAGUGCUAAAAGUAACUUUAAUGUGCUAAAAGGUCGAUCCCUUGUUCAUAGUUUUCUAGGGUAUCUAUAGGAAAUGUCCAUUUACCCAUCGAUAUGAUAUGGCUAGAUAAACGACCAAUCCCGUUAAAUGCGUAAUGGAUAAUCAUAGGCACGUAUCAUAGGAUUCUAUCAAUAUAAGUGACCUCUGCUAGACGUGUAAACGUCUAGAGUAGAAAUACUACAACAAAAAGAUAUAAAAUAGAAUAGCGGUGUCCACAAGUAUAUAGGUUAAAUUGUAAUAUAGUAAAGUUUACAACGAAACAUUUCGAAAAAUAUUCCGAGGAUCGUACCCAAAGGAGGUUGAGUAAAACUAAAAUUACUUUCUACACUAACAGAGCUAAACAAUACUAAUCUAAACUUAUAGCACUAUAAGCAUAAAUAAAAUUUAGUAACAAAAAUAACAUAAGACGAAUAAGAAUAAAUUAACAAUUGAAAUUAACUCAGAUAACAAACAUAAGAUUAACUCAUGUCAAUGUUCAUAAUUAACUUCAGAACUUGGGUUUUAAUGAAUUAGCUAAUAAUUACCUCUUGGUCUCUAACUACUUAAUUAAUUGACAAAAACCACUUAUCUCUCAACCUCGCAAUUUAAACCGAGUCAAGUUAAGCGGUCUCGAUAAACUAUUCUUUCGACCUCAUUUACAUAAAUUACUUUUACGAUCGUCAAUCCUAGGGUUUAAGUGUAUAUAAUUUAAAUCAACUAAUUUUAAGGCAAACCCUAAUUUUUUAGUUAAUUAAUCCCACCUCCAAUCAUUAAUCUCCCUAUGGGGUUUAGCUACUUAUACAUCUAGAAACAAAAUUCCCUAAGUUUAAUUUAAACAUGCAAAGCACGAAUUAUAAAGUCGUCGAUAUUGGAUGCGCUUGGAAGUCAAAAACCUUUUACCAGUUGUCGAGAUAACACUGAUUGCAAUUGAAAACCAAAGAAAAAUUAUAAAGUACUAAAGAAACAAAAGCUUCGAUCGAGAUCAAAUCCAAGUCUGAAAACAGUAAUAAAAAUUCUAUGAAAUCUCAAGCUAAAUUAAAAUUAAAACUAAAAAUCGUAAAACUACUCUAGAAACGACCCCUUAACUAAACCUAAAACAUUACUAUAUAUAGGCAAUUGUAGCUUCCCAAAGUAGGUUAAAUACAUGCCAUUAAGCUGAAUAAAAUAUAUUGUGCAAAUAAAAACACCCUUGGCAAUAUUUUGGCCCUUAUCAUACCGGUGUAGCGACACUAAACAUCAAACGGGACUUCUGUUGAUUCGAAGUUGAAUGUUGUGACACAGAAGUCACUCUUCAUAUUUCUUGGCCUGAAUCAAUAUUCUGCACACUCAAGUAACUCAUUACUCCUACCCUAGGCCCAUAUUGGCCCAAUGGGUCAUUACAAAACCCAAAUAUGUGACUGGCGCUAGACAAGCCUUUAAGGAAUGGCGAAUGGCGCUAAGAUGUAAGGACAUUCUUAUAAGACAUUCCAAGUACGACCUUAGUGUUCUCAUAGGGAAGUAUUUAUUGACUUCUGUGUUCAAGCCACAUAUUGGUGAGGGAGACUAAGAUUUUACCAAUCGUUGUUCCUGAUAGAGACGGGGUUUCACUUGCCACCUCACCAGUUUGUUAUGUCUUUUUUAAAUUCCUACAAUUUAGCACUCGAGAAACUAGUUGGGAACACUUGGUGGUUAGGAGAAGGAAAACUAUGAGGAGGUAUAUCUUGUGGUUUGAAGGGAGAGGACUAAACAACUCAGUUAUAGAGGAGUGGGGAAGUUGAAGCCAAAUAUUAAGAAGUAUAUUUUGGUAGAGUUAAAGUUAAGGGAGUUUUGCGGAUUCCCCAUUAAAUAAAUAAAACCUAUACCUCUCGUUAUCUUCAUCGUCCAUGGUUGGAGACAUUUCUAUUGAGAAGAAUGUCUAUAAUCUUUUGAAUCAUAAUAGCAUCUUUUUUAUUUCUCAUGACAUCUUCCUUUGCAGAGUGUUUUGCUAUUGUCUUCGCGAUAAGAAGGUUAUAGGGCACACCCUUCCGAAUUUGAUAGAUGGCUUGAGGGAUGUUGAGAAAUGGAAGUAAUGUGAACACUCCUAACUAUAUGAUUCGAGGGUUGUUGUCAUCAAGUAUCUUUAGGGUUUGCAUUCAGAGCCUUUAAAUUUCUUCUCAAAUUAUGUAAAGUUGCCAAAUCGAAAAUGACAAAUUCCUCACAGGUCUCUGCACAUGGUUCCAAUGCUAAGACCAGACUUGGAGCAACAUAUUUCUUCUCCUGCCAUCAACAUCACAUGAGACGAGUAUGAUACGAUUUUUUGCUAGGUCUUAGAGAGGUAUAUGUUGUUUUCUCUUUUUCUUGAUGACUUAUAUUAGUAGACGAACAUAAACCUGUCUUUAGUCUAAUAGGAAAUGACCAAACUAAUUGAAAGACUAAUAUGUCGUCUAUCAAGUCUAAUUAGGGAGAUGCUUUGUCUGGGGCAUCGGAGCAGAUGACUCUCAAAAGAUAGAGACAUAGAUAUGAUUAACAGUACAUCAAGCUGGACCCAAGAAGAAUAGAUCUUGAAUCCGUUUAUGGAUUUAUUCACUCGUGACAUUCAUAGUGUGACAUACUUAAAUCCUAAGUGGAUGACGAACUAUAUAUGCGUGACUCGUAUACUUUGAUGUAAGUAAAAUCUUGAGUUCAAAUAGAUAAGAAACCAAAAGUUGUUGCGUUGGGUAUACAACUUUUGCAAUAUGUAGUAUCAUUCACCACAAUGGAAUUCAUAGCCCGAGACAUGGGUAAAUGAUAUCCUCUCAUUGACAUUACAUGUUUAAUGAAAAGUAAACAUGGCCAUAAGUCGUUCAUCUUUGUGAUAGAUGACUUGAUCACUAUUUGAUAGUGAUUGACUUUUCAUGAAGGAAGAUGUAAUGGUUACCAUGAGAUAAAAUAAGAUCAUAUUAGGAGAACGGAUAUUAUCCUAAAGAGAUUAAGGAUAUUCUAUGAGGGUAACACACUUAUGGCAAGGUCAUUGGAUGAGCACUGAUUGAGUUGCUUUUGUAAUGGUAUGUCAUUAGGAAGAGCUCAGUCACGAUACUAUAUUGGAAUAACUUCAUGAAUAAAUGAGUUUUUAAUUAAUAGAUGGAAAGUUGGAACUUAAUUAUAAAUCAUUUGAGCCUCAAUUGCAUAUGUCCAAACGGUCUCUCCGCUGGCUCAUUGUAACUAGAAAUGAAUUGCAUGUUGAACCAAAUGAACAGAAAUGAAUAGAAAUGGUGAAAUAGAGAAAUAGGAAACAUUUGGAAAUGAUUAAGGUUUUAUCAAAAAUGAAAAUGGAGAAAUGAAAUUAUUUAGGAAUAAAUGUGGUUUUCUCAAAAAAAAAAGUUUGAAAAAUGAAUUUUUGUUUUUUCGAAUAAAUGAAGUUCGAAAUUGAAAAUUAAUCAUUUGGUCAUAGUGAAUCGUUGAAUGCGAAAAUAUUAAAUAUAUUUUCUUAUAGAUUCUUUUACGGUAAAUUCGUCAUGAUUUAAACGGAAUUAGAAUUGAGUUGAGAAAAUUAUUUAAUUGAAAAUAUAUUAAAGUUUAUUUUUGGGAAAUAGAAAAUCAAAUAUUGGGUUGGAUCAAAUUAUAAAGUAUUGAGUUAAAAGCAUGGAAGUACUUGUAAUUAGACUUGAUAUGGAAGAGGCUUAAAAGCCUUUUAUGUAAUAAGGGGGGAUGACAAACCCUAGGGUUGCCGCCCCUAUAUACCAGUUGAACAAGGAUUUAUUUUUUCUUGCUGAAGUAAACUUCUCUAAUUCAACAAAUGUUUUAACUUCUCUCCCUAUAAAUAGAUGAAACCAGUUGGGCUAUUUAAAUAACUUUCAAAUAUCGUUAUUCUACUUGAAAAUAUAGAAAAUUUUAUUUUCUAAUAAUUAAAUAUAUUUUUUUGGGAUAAUGAUCCUGUUGGUUUCUAUUUGAGAAGAGAAUUUCCGUUUUCACCUCAAAAGAAAAUAAAACUAUUCUGCCCCUAUAUUCUUGCUUGAUAAUGAUUCGUUUUGUUUGAGCCCACAGUUGAAGUAAUUUGUGGUACAACAAUAUUAGAGAAGAUCAUUUGGUUGAAAGCCGGAAAUGACAAGGAUCUGUCUAUCAGAAAACACAAGUAUGAUUUCGUUCUAGAGUUUACUGCUAUAAAUAUCAUAAAUCGAGUUGACUUUCAAAAUUUUUAUUUUUCGUUGUGCAAGAAAACCAUUUUCGAACCAGAUUUUUUCCAAUACAACAUUUGCUUCUAUUUUUCUUUGUGUGCAAAAACCACAUGAGGACAAUUAUACAAAGUAUAUUUAUGUAAUCAAUGAAUUCUUUUAUUAAUCAAUCUGUUCAAAAACAAUUACAAGUUUACAAACGAAUAUACUACACUCAGGGCACUAGAUCAAACACUUUCCAUAUCACAUAUUCUACUUCUGUAUGUCUCAAGCAUCUCAAAAGCAGUUGGAGGAAAGCUUUCUUAUAUAAGACCCCGUCAAUAAGCAUAUAGCGAGAGGCUAAGCUGUUGGAAAAACGGGUUGGAAAACAGGUUUAACAGAAAAACCAGAGUUUUAAAUUUUUUUUCCAAAAACAAGAACUAGGUUGUAAUAUCUAAAGUAAUAAACACUUAAUCAAAAUUUUACAUUUUCAAUUCGUCUAGGAUGAACAUUUCGACUGAGUAGUUUUCUCCGCUAUCUUCAAGCUCAUGUUUGGUGAGUGUGGGCUCACUUCAAAUCAAAAAAAUUUUCACAAAAUUACCAGUAGGGUAAUUUUGCAAAUUUUCUAAACUUCUAGGUUAUGUUGUAAAUAAAAAUAUAUAUCUAAAAAUAUUCUGCAAUAAUUUUUUCAGAGAAUUUUUUCUCUCGAACUUUCUCUUAAAUUUAAGUUUGUGUAAAUAAUGACUCAAGACUCUUUUUAUAUAAGGAGAGUUUAGAGAGUUCAACUACAAUCAAACUUAAUCAUUUUAAUAUUAAAUUUAUAUAAUACUUAUAAAUGUCAGUAUUAAAUUAAAUUUAAUAUUAAAUUUAUUAAAAUAAUAUUUUUUUGAAAUAGUUAAUCUGAAAUUAAAUUAUCUGGUACAGUCCCAGUAGGAGUGUAAUUCUUUCAUUCCUCAACCACCAAAGAACCACAACUGUCGACUAUCCGUCGGCCACCAAAAUGUCGUUGUCGUAGCCGUUGGCACCAUUGUGCCCGAUGGUGUCAUUGCAAGCGCGACACUCUUACGGGACCUUGAGUCGGUUCGAUUACAACCGGUUCAAUCUGAACCAGUGACGGGCGAAUCGGUUCAGUCCAACCACUAGUUGGAUCGUUGAAUCAGUUUCAGAUAUCUAGCACGAUUCAACCAAUUUUGGGUCUUGUUUUCGGUUUUUGGUUCUCGGUUCCGAUUUUCGAUCUCAAGAAUAAUUUUCAAGUUCAAUUACCUAUUGGGUCAAUUGUCUAACUUGAAAAUUAAUUUCCCAAAAUAUUAUAUUUAUUUUAAUUAAUUUGAUUAAUUUAAUUUUUCUUGAUCAAAGUUAAUUUUUAAAGAAAAUUCUUUAAUCAAAUUCUCUAGUUGAACAAUUCUCAUGACCACCCAAUUUAAUUCCACAUUGAAUAAAUUGACUCAAUUAAAUUAUUUCCAAAGUUGUAGAAUUUCUUUCUGAUCCAAAUGCAGUUUGAUCGAACUUUUGUUGAGCUAACAGAAGGACUAAUCGUACAUAUACAAUCAGACUCUUAUAAUUGCAAUUAUGUCUAGAAGCAUCUCUUUGAUAACUCACAAUUUACUUAAUCAUGGAGUCAAUCCACAAGAAGUAUCAUGAUUAAAAACUCUUUAUCGUAUACUCUUUACAAAAGUAAUUCAUCCAACUACUUUGUCUAAUGACAUCGUCAUGUGUGUGUUAUUCUCAUAUGAUAUCCUUGAUUUCUUUAAGUUAAAUCCGUUCACUCAAUACAAUCAUAUUUUAUCUCAUUUUCACCAUUGUGUCUUCUUAAUGAUUAAUAUGAUCACUAUCAACAAAUGAUUGUGAUAAAUUGCUUGUUCAAGAAUAAGCAAUCUGUGGCCACGUUCCAUAUUUAGCAAUCCACACAAUACCAAUGAGAGGAUAUUGUUAACUCUUUAAUCGAGCUAUGAAUUCCAUUGUUGCUAGUAAAGUCAUGCCAUACAUAAGUUAUGUACCCAACAUACUGGCUAUGGGCUUGAUCAUCUUUAAAGCAUGUCUCCACUUAUAUCAAAACACAUGAGUUACAUACUCACGGUCACUAUGAACAUCACAAGUGAAUUAAUUCACAAACAGAUUUAGAAUUAAUUCAACUUGGGUUUAGUCCAACGUAUCAUUCUUUCAAUGAGUACAUUUAUGUCUCUACCCAGGGAGUCAACUACUUCGAUAGCCAAGGCUAGCCAUCUCCCCAAUUGGAAUUGUAGACGGCAUAACAAUCCUUCUAAGUAUUUUAAUCAAACGGUCACUUUGAUUCUUUUAUGAGAUUACAAACUCGUUUAGAUUAUCUACUGAAGUAAGUUUUCUUUCUCGCAAUGUAAACGUUCUUACAAUGUCACUUAUCAUCAAUUUGAACUUAAACAAUCAAUAAGCUAAUAUUUGUUUGUCACAAUUUUGCUACGUAUGUAAAACAUGAAAAACAAAAACACAAAUGAUAUAUCGGUGAAGUGUGAAAUUAACUUUAUUUAUUUAGCAUUCAAAUACAUUGAAAACAGUUACAUGUUAACUACAAUAUGGACACAUUUCCCAACAUAAGCGAGAAAUGCAAUCGAGUCUUUUUGGAUUGGAAGGUGUUGAAUCACCGGAUAAUAUUCUUUUAAUGGCGUCAUCUACAUAUUUCAGAGUCUAUGUGGAAGACUUGUCAUACUUUCUCAUAGCUAGGGAUUUCUUUAUGCUCUAAUAAGAUUUUACCUCUCUUUCGAAUCCCUACUUUAGAUGCCAUACGAGAUAGAGACUCAAGUUUUAUAUUUGCAAAUUGGAUGACUUCAUCCACCUGGACUUCUGAGAAGGCUUGUAAUAGUUGUAUUAUAAUGGAAUAGUAUUUUGAUAAGAUGGGAUCCUUAACCUCAUAUUCUCCUUGAAUUUGUUUUACUUUCAGUUGGGAGUUGGCAUGAACAUGAAGUUUUUGAGCUCCUAGUUUCUCUACAAGUUCUAAACCAACUAUUAUGGUUUCAUAUUCAACAGCAUUGUUGGACACAACGAACACAAAAGAAAGCUUAUAUUUCCAUUCAUUACUAUCUGGAUUAACUAACGAGAUGCCUGCUCCUAGUUUUUGAGCUCCGUUAAAUGCGUAAUGGAUAAUCAUAGACACACAUCAUAAGAUUCUAUCAAUAUGAGGUAGUUAAGCCUAAAUAGACCCCUUAUUAUCUUGGAAGUAGGUUCACAUUAGGAUAGCAUUCACCUUUAAGCCCAAGUGAUAGGUCCCAUUUGAAGUGGGACAGAUGGUCAUGUUCAAGAAGUCAAUGCGGAGUCAACGAUGUUUGUUUAGCUUGCCACGUGUCUUCUUAACAGAGGGAUAUAACAAUAAUCAAAUAAAGAUUAACAUUGAUAAUAAAAAAAUACAGUCUCACAGAUUUUAAUUAAGAUUAAGAGACGAAAAAAAGUUGAAUUUCGUAUUAUUUAUUUCUUAAAAAGUGCCUAUAAAAUGCUUAUGUUGAUACAAAGUAGCUUCUAAGGUUUUCAUCAUUACAAAAGUGCCAUUUUCAAAGAUACAGUACGGAAAAAACUUAAAAAGUUAAAAUUAACUAUCUGGUCUUAUAAAAACAAAUCAAAUUUUCAAUUUCACCGACAUAAACUUAUUUACCAACAAAUUCCAUUUUAUUAUUUUGUUAAAAAUAAAAAAUAUUCCAAGCGUGAUUGAAAUUAAAUAAAAAAAAAUGGAAGUCUAUAAUUUCAUAAUGAAAUGGACCAAUUCUUGUGUAUGUGGGUGGUUGGUUUAGCUGUCUCAUCCAAUAUUCACUCACUCUAAAAUGGCAUCAAAUGAUGUUUUUGAACAUUAAAAUCUUAGUUAAAAUCAAAUGAAACCUUGAAUUUCAGAUAUCUUCCUUUACUAUUAUAAUGGGAUUGCCGUCAAUUUCUUUUUCAUUUCUAUUUAAUAUAUUAUAUAUACAUCCAUUUUGUUAAGGUAUAAUAAUUUUGUAUAUAUACAUAUUUACAAUUUUAAUACUCUUUUUACCUUUUAAUCAAAAAUUUACUUUUAAUAAAAUUGCACCUUAGCUCCCAAGAAUGAGAAAAAAAAUUGAUUUAAUCAUUUAAAAAUUAUAAAAAUAUACAACUUUAUUCCGACCCCCCCUCAAACAGUUUUCUGACUCUGCAUAUUCAUAACCAUUCACUCUAUCAAAACAAACCACAAUCAUUCACUAAUAAAACCUUUAAAUAUAAUCCUACACACUGAAAUACUGUUUAAUCAUUUUAAAACAUUAAUAUCUAUACAACUUAUUAAAACUAAUAAGAAUUGCAUUCUUUUGCUUCCCUGCCAAGUCAACAUUUUUAUUUUUAGAAAUCCAUCAUAAUUUUUGUGAUUAACAAGUUAAAUGGCAAAUCUACCAUUUUCACCCUGCUUAUAUUGAAUAUUUUGUAAAUUUCCAUAAUCAUUUUGUUUAAAGUUAGAAAAAUAAGAAAAACAUAUGUUUCUUAGAUAUGCAUUAUGUCGUAUCUUGCAUAAUAUUAAUAUUUGAGUUGAUUUUUCGAAUAUUUGAAUUUUUUUAAAUUUAUUUAAUAUAAUUCCAUAUCUAUAGGAUUAUAAAUUUCAAAUUUUCAUUCUAUAUAAUUUUUUACAUAACCAUUAUGUUUCUAUUACUUUUUUUUCCUGCUCAAAGUACUAGAAUCUUAUAUAAUUCUUGAUAAUUCAUUUUUCAUAAUUUUUGUCAAAUAAUUCAAUAAUUUAAAUUUUAUAUUUUAAACAUUGAAUCAUUGUAAAUAUCAUAAAUAUUAUAUUUAAAAUUUUAAUCCAAUAACUUGAUAUAUUCUAAUACAAGAUAAAUAUCACAAUUUGGUAUCUUAAUUUUUAUUUAGUGCAAUUAUGUACAUGAAACUUGCACUGUCGUUACAUAAAAUUUUGAUUUUGAUUCAAUUAUACGCAUUUAAAGAAAUUAAUACAUAUAUUUAUUUUCAUAUUGGAUUAAUAUAAAUGUUUGUAUAUGUAAUAUCCGACAUAAAAUGGUGUUAAUUCUAUAAUAUUAUUAGUGAUUUUUAAAAAUCAAAUCAAAAUUUCAUAUAUAAAAUCAUACAAAAUCAAAAUUUAUGUAUAAUAUUAUAUAAUUUAAUAUUCAUAUCAUAUUUUUUCCAUCCAUCAUUGCUGCCUAAACUAAAAGCCAAUCCAAAUUGAAAAGGAAAAAGAAGGGAAAACACACACCCCAUUAAUGUCGCAGCACCACUUCAACACAUGACCUGCACCUGUUUCCAAACAGUUCUUUAAUAGUUCCUUUUUCUUUCUUUCCUCUCUCAAAUCUCAAUGGGUUGAGUUGACUUGAAUUAAUUAAAUGGAAUUUUUAUUUGAAGUGUGUGAAUAUAUUUUCUAAGUAGCAUGCGUUGACUUUACAUCCUUAUAUUUAUAUAUUUCCAUUAGUAUGCAUUGGUUUAAUGUGUAGUCAUCUUCAUUAUCCACCAUGAAAUCAUUAUAUUUACACCCAAAUGGGAACUUUUAAAAUCAGUUCCUGAUCUCCUCCCCAUUUCUAGCCACCAUAUCUCUCAAUCUUUUUCACACAUAUUAUUUCAUCUUUGUUACAUCAUUAUCAAAUCUUAAUAUGAAUCAAAAUCAAAUGUAGAUAUUGUUGAAGGAUUCUUAAUUCUUUCAAGAAAAAUUUUUGUAGUUGCUCGUUCAUAACAAUAGACUCCUCAACAUGUUUGAUAUUGAUAUCAUUUAAUGUUUUGUCUCUUGAAUCAAAUACUAAUCCGAGUGCUUGAGGUUGCUUGAAGAGGCAAUUGUUUCAAUAGAGUAAGAGUGUCUCAUCAUGAGGGACUAUGCAUGACGCAUAGGCACUCACUAAGAAAAUGUGGGCAUUUGCACUUGACAGGGUUUAAGCCUAUGCCCUACAACAUAUAGAGCACUUAUGGGCUACUACGCUACCACUUAAAGGGGUUUGUUGGCUUUGAGACGAUGCCACUUCGAAGACCUUUUUUGGAAGAAUGGGCCUCCCCUCAACAAAUAUAAAUUUAAAAUGGAUAUGCAUACUCAAUUAGUUAAUAGUUGUUUUCUUUUAUUUAAAGGACCGCAUACUUAUAUUUAAGCUUGAAUAUGUGUCAUUUAAACAAAUAUAUAUCUUAUAAAAAUAAAAAAGAUAAUAUACUUAUUAUAUGUAUAUCUCUCUCUUAGCCUAGCUUAGGGAAGCUUAUUGCAUCCAAUGCUAGCUUGCCUUACACUAAUAUCUUCUCAGAAUCAUAAAUUUUGUAAUCUAAUGAUAUACUUUACCGAGGAGCCUCACCAAGUUAAGUGGUUAAGUCUUCUUCUAGGUUGGAUAACAUGUGAACCUCUAUCAAGUCCAAUUGUUACAUGUCUGCUCAGACGAUACCCUCUUGGACACAUGUUGAGGGCUAGGGGUGGUUGGUAUCUAAACCUUUACUAUAAAUACCUCUCUCUUCUCCAAUAGAGGAGAAAACAUUUCUACUAAACCAAAAAUUUUCCCAACCAUCCAUAAUUAGCUUGGCUUUUUGCACUACAGUUUGCUAUUGUGUGAAUUGUCAUCUCCUUUCAGUAUUAUCCUCUUUGUAUCAACAAUAUUAAAUAAACUUGAGUUUUGUCACUUUACUUAAAUAAACCCUUAUACUUUAAUUACACUCAAAUAAACCCUUAAUCUUUAACUUGUAUUCAAAUAAGCCUAUAACAUUUAAUUUAGGUAACACUUCCAAAAUUUCUCAAUUUAUUGUACAGUACCUUUUUUAGAAUGAUGUCUAUAAUUCAGUGUGAGAGUUUUGAUUUCUUUGAGUUUGUUUGAACUUGAACCUUAGAAAUGUAAUGAGUUAGUAUUAUAAUUGGAUUAGAGUGUUUUGAACACAAUCGAAAAAGGAUUUGAAGUGAAUGGCAAAAUGAUAUUUUAUUUUAAUAUUACAAUAAUAUUUUUUUUUGGUCCAUCUAAAAAUUUAUAUAUAUAUAUAUAUUUAUAUUUCAUCUCAAUUCCCGAACAUAAAUAUUUUAAUUUUGCCCAUCAAGCACUAUUGAACGCAAAAGGUGAAAUGGCAAUCAAAUCAAUAGAAAAAGAGAAUAAAGAUUGAAACCCAAAUUUCUAAUAUUGUGAAAAUAAAACUUUGAACAUAGUUUCCAUUGUUGCAACCCACCAAAGAAACAAAGUUUCUUUCUUAUUGCCAAUAUUCCUCCUUUUUAACUUUAUUACAUACAUGACAUGAGACAUUUUUAAAGUGCAAGCUAUGAACCAUGAGAGAAAUGAACACCCAACUAAUUCCCAUUCUUUAUUUCUUCGUUCACUCAAAUAUGCAAUUGAAAUUGUGACCACAAAUGAGCCAUUUCAAUCAAUCAACAUUCAAGUUGUGGCCAAAUGUGAUGGGAAUUUCAUGUUUGACACCUUGUUUGAAACCUUACAAAUUUAAUUAAAUUUAUUAAUAUAUAGCAUCCCAUAAUUGAUUCACAUUCUAGCAAAACAUUAAUAUUUUUUUUAAUUUAGUACAACCAAAUUAUUAAAUGCAUAGAAAAAUUCUGCUAAAACAAUCAUUAUUAAGUCUCAAAAGCAUUUAUCAAUAAUUGUAUCAAAUUACUUGAUGAUACUGUAUACUUGCUUAUAUAUAUAUAUACACAUAUAUACAUUUAUAAAGGUCAUGUUUACUUAAUAUUGAAAUUUGUUGUUAAAUUUUGUUUUAAAUUGAUGUUUACUGCUAUUCUUUAAGAUUAAGGGUAAAUAUGUUAGCAUACUUUCAUGUGUUGAAAUUUACAAUUAAACCUUAAAAUUUAUUGAAUUUUACUAUCAACUUUAAUUUUUUUUAAUUAAAAUUUGCACUUAAGGUUACUUUGGAUAUUUUGAAAACAAAAAAUUCCUUUUAACUAUUUUAUUUCAAUAAGUAGCAAUAAAUUAAUUUAUAAGAAUAUGAAAACCAAAUAAAUAUGGAAUUUUUAUUUAUUGAAUCAAUGACUUGAAUUUUAUUUUAAAUACUAAAACACAAAAAUAGCCUUUAAUAGGGUUUCGAGCUGGAUUACUUAUGAUCAUGGAAAAACACUUAUUGAAAGCAUCGAUGACACUAAACAAUCAACUUUUACCUUCAAACCAGCUUUUUCAAGCCAAACAAAAAGGUUAAAAAAUUUAGGUUUUGACUUUUACAAAAGUAGGUUUAAUUACCUUAAUAUUGGUAUUCUUUAGCUUAUACUCUUAAUUUUAGCAAUAAGGAACAAAUAAUAAAUAAGUAAUGAUAUUAUCCAUCAAUUAUUGAUUUUUCAUUAAAUUGUAAGGGUUGUGUUUGUAUGUGCUUUAUUUAUCCAAAAUAUGAUUUACAUAUUUUAUAUUAAUUAUUUAAAAACUACUUCAAAUUUAUAUUUCAUCUUUCGUAAUAUUAAUAAAUUAAAUUAAAGUUUAUUUUAUCAUAUCAUCUUUAAAAUGAAAUUUUAACUUUUCACAACACUUUUGUGAUAGUAUUGCUAAACACUUGAAAUUUUUAAUCACAUUUUUCGCAACAUUUAUUUUUAGGUUAAACUUUUCAAAAAAAAUCUUUUUAAUCGCAAACAAUGAUAUUAAAGUAGCCCUAAGUUGCAUCUACGAAUAAAACUAUAAUAAUGAAUAUAAAGUGAAAACUAACAAAGCACAUUUCAUUUAUAAAGAAAAUUUAGAAUCAAACUCUCAAGAUGAUUUUGUUUGGAAGAGCAGUUACGAACCUCAAAAAAUUAAUCUUCAUCAAUGAUGUUUGAACCGAAUCAGCCGAUCAAGUCGAGAAUCAAUCGGGGUAUCGAUUCAAGAAUGGAUUAGACCAGUUGAACUGGAUAAAAAUCGAAUGAAUAGGCGAUUGAACUGGAUUUUAUUAUUAUGAAUUUUUAAUAUUUUUAAUCAAAUUAAUAAAAUUACUUGAACCGACAAAUCGGUAACUUAAUCAAUUCAACUAUCGAUCUAAUUUUAAAAAUAUUAAUAUUCAUAAAUCGUAAAACUUAAAAAAAAAAAACGUAGAUGUUAGUAUAAAGUUAAUUAUAAGAGGCAUUAUAUUGGGGGUGACUUCUUUUUAAUUUAUAUGCCAUUUUGUUCAUGCCAAUUGCCUAGCUACCAUAAUAAGCUCCAUCACGCGUGCACAAAUGAGGGAAUGUGAUAAAUGGGUUGAAAUAAUUAUAUUAUAAAGUAAAAAAUUUGGGGCAAAGAUCUAGAUUUUCAAGAAAGAUAUGAAGAAAUUUGAUAAGAUAUAGAGAAAUACUUUCUAGGUUAUAACUAAAAGUAAUAUCAAUAUCACAACACACUUUAUAUACAUAGUGAAUGUUUGACUUUUAGUUUAAUUAGUAUGGGUAUUGUUGUUAAUAUAAGAAAAUAUUGGUUCGAGUGCGUUGAAGCACAUUAUCUUACUAUUUAUGAGUUAAAGAAGGACUAUGAAUAGUUUUGAACAUUGUGUCAAAAAAAAUAAAGAUGAUCGGAACUUAUAUUGAGAUAAUUUAGAACAAAAUAUAUGAAGUAAAAUUGAAAGUAUAGAAAGGAUAAUUAGUCAACGGCAUCUUUUACGCUUUUUUAUAUACUUUUUUAUAUGGUGCAUUGUCUACAAAAUCACUUGAGUGAGAGGUUGACAUUUUGUACCUUUGGAUAAAAUAUAUAUCUACUACCACAAAAUUUGGGCUUUCAUCAAUCCCACUUGCAACUAUAGCAAUGGGCUUGAAUUAUCUGUUCUAAUUAAUAUAAAUAUAUUUUAUUAAAUAUAUAAACUAUUUAUUUAAUUGUUUAAGAUUUUUUUAUUGAAAUUUAAUUAUAAGUAUAUAAGUAUUAGUAUAAAUUAUUUAUUUUUUUGUUGAAGUUAAAAAAGGAAGAAGAUAAAGACGACUCAUAAAAUGGUGCGCGAAGAGUUGUUGAAAAAAAGUUACAAACCGCGGCAAACCUUGUAUAUUAAGUCUUUUAGCUUUUGAAUAAAUGAAAUUUUCACAUUUUUGACUUUUCUAAUUAGUAAUGUAAUUUAAGCAUGUUAACAAUAUUUUUAACAUUGAUCUCUCUAAAAUUUUAUAACUUUAUCUCGACCGCUCAAAAUAAAAUUACAUACUUCGCUUCUGGUUAUAUAGGAAGAAGAAGAAUCUCUUCCUCAAGUCAAAGCAGGAAUUUAUAGGAUAUGGCGCAAGUCCCAUCAUGGUCGGCCUCUAAGAGAACACGGUAAAACUUAAGUAAGCAACAAUAGAAUAAAGGUAACUCAAGCAAGAUUCAUGUGUAAAUCAUGCAAAGAAGGCUCAACACUAAUAAGAUUUGGUGAAGGUCCGGUUUAAGCAAUGUAAUUGUAACAUUAAUAUCUUUUUAUUCAAUUUAAGAACAAGGAUUUUAGCUAAUUAUUAAUUAAUGUGGAUUUUUAAAAUGAAUUUUGUUAGAUAUUAAGUCAAUAUAAUUUGGGGGGAAAGGUAUGUGACAUUUUUUUUUUAUUCUUCGAUUAAACCAUGGCAUCGAUUGAUUUAUGAUUUUUAAAUUUAGUUUGAUAAUUAGGUUCGUGUUAUUGUGUUAUAUUCGUAUAUAAUGUAUCACAAUAAUUUUUAAAAUAUUUUAUAGUAUGUUAAUAAUUUAUAUUGUAUAGAUUUGAGAGAUAUUUUAAUAUUAAGCAAUUGAAUUUUCCAGUUGUUUGAUUAUAUUUUAAUGUUAUUAUUAUAUCGUAUUUAAUAGGCUAAAUGUUUAAAUUAGGAUUCAAUUUUGUAGGAAUUGUUCACAUAAGGGACAAACUUUUCAAAAUGCUCGUAAAAUGGUUUAACCUUUAUAAAAAUAUUUGAAUAAGGACUUUUCUCGCAUUUCAACCCAAUUUGAGUGAAAUUAUUUGAAUUCUAACAUGUUUAGAAUAAAAUACAUGACAAAUGAAUCAAAUAUUGCUUGAAAAUAAAAUAAAAUAACCAUAAUUUAAUACAUGAUAUACGACAUUUGAAAAGCUAUUAUUUGGGCACUUUCAAAAAAGUUUAACCCUUAUUUGAGCACUUUGAAAAGUUUAACUUUCAUUUGAACACUUUUGAAAAGGUUAAGCCCGGAUUUUGAAAUUUUUGAAAAGUUGGGUCCCAAUGAUAUUAUCAAAUCUAAUUUUCUCUUAAUUAUAUAGAUUUUGUUAAUUGGAUUCAUAAGCCCACUCAAAUAUGGACUCUUCUUUAAUGCAAUUUUUAUAAGGACAAAGAUGUUAAACUUAAUUAGGGUUGGGUUUUCUUUUAUAGACUAAAUAGGGAUUGGGCUUAAAUACUAAAUGGUAAAUGCUGUUAAAUUAUUCUUUUAAUUUUUCUCAAGAAAAAUUAUAAAUUUUUAUACGGGUAAAUUAUACUAUUAGUCAUUAAAUUAUAGAUAAAUUUAUGUUUUGGUCACUUAACUAAAAAAGUUAUAAUUUAGUCACUAAAUUUUUCGAAUUUGUUUUUUUAUCAUAGUUAAGUGGCUUUUUUUUAGUUGGUAUAAUAACAAUUUUAGUUAAGUUUUUUUAUACUUUCUUUCAAUUUGACCUUGAUUAUAUAUAAAAUGAUAAAAAAUAAAAAUAUUUUUAAAAAAUUAGAAAAUUCUAAAAACUAAAAUUAAAAUAAAAGUUGACUAAAAAUUCAAUAAUAGAUAAAUGUUUUUAAACCCUUCAAAUUUUUUCUCUGUAUUUUUUGUAUAGAAAUAUCCAAUACUCAUUUUUUUUAAAAUAAUAUAUGAUACAUUGUCAAUAACAUUUUUCAACUCCACAACCAGGGUAAAAGGGUUGACAAACUAGUGUCCUAUAGGGAUGUAGAAUAAUAUUAAAAAAAAAAAGAGACAUGAAAUUUUUUUUAAUGUUGUUUAUGAAAUAAAAAAUAUAUACAUCGCCAAAGUACCAAAUAUUAACUCUUAAAAAGACAAAAAUAUUAAGCAAAAUUAUUGGUUUUCUAUUUUUAUUUUAACUCUUUGUUUUCUUGACAUAACUUUUUCGCUAUAAGAAGAGAAAAUAUUUAUAAUAUAAAUUGUUCUUACAAGUUGGGUUUUGAAAAAUAAUUUAAAUGAAUUGUAAGAAUGAAUUGAGUCUGAAAAAGAAAAUUUUAUGGUAUACUUCGUAUUUUUUGGCUAAAAAAUAGUAUCAAAGUCAAUUUCACAAGCCUCUGUAAUAUCAAUUUUGGAGGUUUUUCAAGGGCUUGGUGCUUGACUUGAAGAAUUUCGAGAAAAAUUGAGGAAGCAUGUAAUUAUCUAACUUUUUAUUUUAUUUUAUUUUGUUUUUAAUUUGUUAUUGGUUUCUACUAAAUGAUAAUUUUCUUUAUUUUCCUAGAAUUUUUACAUAGAAUUUUUUUUAAAUAAAUUUGAGUUUUAUUUUAUGAUUCCUCGAAUUGACAAAAAAAAUAUAAAAGCUGAGAAUUAAAAUUGUUAGUAGACUAAGAAAAUAAGUGCCACUUAAGAGUUGAGUGACAAAAGAAAUGCACAAAUUUUAAUAAUCAAAUUGUAACUUUUUUUUAAUUAAGUAACCAAAAUGAAAAUUUAUUUACAAUUCAGUGACUAAUUAUAUGGUUUACCCUUAUUGUAGAGAUUAGCUUUAUUUGAGUUAAACUAUAGAUAGUUAGUUAUCUUCAAGUAAUAAUUAAUGAAUUAUUUCAAACAUAAUUGUUUUAAACCUCAUCCAAUCACAUGAAAGUCAAUUAGAAACUUAUUUAUUUAUAUUAUUCAAAAUGUUGAAUACGACUGGAUUGAUUGUAACUAGCAGUAGACCUGUCCAUGGGCCGGGCGGCCUAGCCCGACCCGAUGGCCCGCCCGAAAUAUGGGAGGGUUCGGGUAAAAAUAUAGGCCCGAAAUAUGGGUUUGGGCAAAAAACGAGGCCCGUUUUAAAAAAUGGGCCGGGCUCGGGCUCAACUUUUUUUGGACUGAGCCCGGCCCGGCCCGAAUAUAAUAAAUAUUUAUUUUUAUUUUUUAAUUUUAAAAUACUUAAAAAAUUUUAUUUUUUUAUUUUUAAAAUAUUUUUUGUGUUUAUUAAAAAUCGGGCCGGGCCGGGCUCGAGCUUAUUAUUUUUUUCCUGGACCUGGGCAAAAUUUCAGGCCCAUAUUUCGGGCCGGGCAGGGCCCGUGCCUAAGAGGAGGGCCAAAAAAUUUUUCCGGGCCUGGCCCGACCCAUAGACAGGUCUAACUAGCAGCCACACCAAAGGAAGCGGUAGGCAGGUCAUUUGACUUCAAAAAUGUACAAAUAGUCAUUAAACUAUUCGAAAGUUUUUAUCUAAGUUAUUGGACUGUUAAAAUCGUUGUUAUAUGACCUUUUAUGUUCUCACCACCUGUGCUAGAGGCGAAGGCAAAAAAUUUUUUAGGUGACCAAAAUUAAAGUUUAAUUUUUACGAUAAUAAAAAUGUAAUUUUACCAUUUGAAUAGCAUAUAUCUUUAUAAUUUAAAAGGAUUAAAUCAAAUUUUUAUAAAUUUCAGGGGAGUCAAAGUGUAAUUUUACCUAUACUAAUUAAAAUUUUUUAAAAAUUUAAAUGUCUUAAAUGGGCAAUUUUCCAUUUUAGAGGGGCCAGAGCCCCUGCCAACCCCCCGACUACGCCCCUAGUCUGCGUCACUAAAAAACUUUAAUUCCUCUUCUCUUUUAUAGUUCAAUUUUUUUAAUAAAAUAACUUCAAACGUUAUGAAUCGAUGAACCAAAAGCCAAAUAGUUUUAUUCUUCGAUUUUUGACACUGAUCGUCUGAUCAACUUGGGUCUAAUGUGUGUUCUUUUACUCAUCGAUUGUUCCUAAUCCACCAUACCAAUUGUUAAAUCAUCGCUUCAAGCACACUAGCAAAUUUUUUUUCUAAAAAGAAAAAAACUUAACAACCCAGUGACUUAAAUAAAAACUUUUGAAUAGUUCAAUAACUUAAAUGAAAACAUUUGAUUAGUUUAAUGAUCAUUUAUGACUUUUUGAAGUUGAGUGACUAAAAUUAAACAAACAAUCUAUUUUUAAUUUUUAAUUAAAUUAUGUAAUUGUCUAGAGCAUAUAAUACACAUUAAAAAUAAAAAAUAAAAAAUAUUAUUAUUUUGCUUGAUUUAUAUACGUUUUAAAUCAUUUGAAAUUACACAAGGAAUAAUAUUUAAUGUGUUGUCGGUGCAUAAGUCUCAAGCACUAUCAAUGAAUAAUAAUAUAACACAUCAUCAUUAAAUUAAAAAAAAUACGGAGGACUUAUAAAUAGUAAUAAUUUUAUUUAAAUAUAAUUAAAAAUUAAAUGUAAUUAUUAUAAAUAAAUAUUAAUAACUCUCAGGAUUUUGGUUUAAAGAGUUUAGGAUCUAAAGUUUCAGGGUUUUAAUCUUUAUUAAUAAUUAAUUAUGUUUAAAUAAAAUUAUUAGUAUUUAUUUAUAAAUCGUCCACUAUUUUAUGUUUAAUUUAAUGGUGAUGUGAUAUGUUAUUAUUCAUCGAUAAUACAUGAGACUUAUGCACCACCAAUAAAUCAAAUAUUCUCCCAUCAUACAGAUUAUCUAUUUUUUUAAUUCCUUCAAAUUUGAAGAAAAUAAGUUGAAUUUAUUAAAAAUUCAAAUAAUUAUUCAUAUUUUAAUUUGAAAAAAAAUUCAAAUUUUAUUAAAACUAUCAAAAUUAUCAUAAUUUCAAAAUUGCGAGCAUGUCAAAUGUUAUAUAUUUAAAAGAAAAAUAAUCUAUUAGUUAAUAAUUUUUUUAAAUAUCUAUCUUAAUUAUUCUAAAAAGAUUAAGCUUUAUUGUUAUAAAAUAUUAUCUGUUCAAUUGAUUAAAAACAUAGAAACAACUAUUAAUAAAUUUAUUUAAAUUAUAAUUAAAAAAAUAAUAACUCUUGAUUUUAGAAUUUAAAGUGUUAAGUUUAAUAUUUAAAGUCUUAAAAUUUGAGUUUAAAAUUUUAGUAUUUAUUUACCAUUAAUUAUUAUCUAUUUAUAUUUAAUUAAAUUUAUUAGUAUUUAUUUAAAUAUUCGCGAAAUUUAUAUAUUUCAAGAGAGUUAAAAGUAAAGACACAUUGUUGGGUAAAAAAGUCGAGACAAGACAAAUUGAUUGAUAGCAUUGGCUAUGUCAACCACAUUGGAUUUUUCAUAUAAUAUACAUGCAGACAGUGAAAGAAAUAGAAAAUUAAAUAAAUAAAUGAUUAAUACUAUAAUUAUAUUGCAGUAAAAAUACAAUAGAGGCUGCUAAAUUUUGGAGUCCGAUUGUUUGUUUCUCUAUUAAAAAAUAAAUAAAUCUAUCGUUGUCAGUUAGAUUAAAUAAUAGAUUGGUAUUUUUUGUUAAAAAAUUUAUCUAUUUGUAUUGUUAAAAACUGAUGUAACUGAUAGAAUAAUCAGACAGAGACACGUAGCACGUCAUGUGUACCUUAUGCUGACGUAUAGAGACUAAUUUUUAAAAGUAGACAUCGAUGGAUUUUUUAAUAGAAAAGUCAAUUUGCUCUAUGAUAUGAUGUAUAGAGACUAAUUUACAUGUUCUUUGAGUAUAAGGGGCAAAAUGCAAUCCAACUUCUAGUACAUGAACCAUCAUGGUAUACUAAGACCACCUUAAUUAUCUUCCAAAAUGCUCUAAUCAAUAAUUUAUGAAGGAAUGAUAUAACUUUUGGCCACUGAACUUGAAUUCUGUUAAUAUUUGAUAAUGUGACCAAUAUUACUGAAAUAGGAUUAGAUUUAAAGACCCACAAUUGAUUGGUAUAACAAUCCGAAUAAAGGGGUCGAACAAAAUGCUUGAAAUUGGUAAAAUUUAAAAAUCAUGACAAAAAUAAACAAUUGAACAGGUUUAAUCAAUUUAAUAUUGUUUAGAUUUUAAUGAAUUUUAAUUAUUUAUUUAAUUAUGGUUGGUUUGGCGGUUGAACUGAUCAAAUUAGUUGAAUCGAAAAUCAAUGGUUUGAGUUCAACCACUGGUUCUUAGAAUACUAAAUACAACACUCUAAGAUUAUAUCAUAUCAUCGCUUGGAAUUUUAUAUAAAAUGUUAAAUUUUCAAGUGAUGACGUGACACAAUCUCAAAGUGUUUCAUCAUCGAACUUUUAUAUUUUUCGAGUUUAGGGAUAAAAAGUAAACAUAAUCAUCAAAUUUAAAUGUUAAAAUACACAAAAGAAAUAAACGUACCGAAAGAAUUUAAUUAUCAAUUUCAGACAUAAAAAAUAUAUUAUCUCAUUUGAUUUAACAACCCAAAUUAUUUCAAACUUUACAAUAUUGAAAAAUAAUCAAAUAUCUGUAAAGUUGCCUUUUGUUUUAUUAAAUAAUGCCUGCUAAUAUAGAUUGUUUCAAUACGACAGGUUUAAAUGUUACCCGCGCGUUUCGCGCGUGGGUUAUAAUUUGUCCACCUUGCUUCAAUGAUUAAAAAUAACGGUAAAAUAUGUUAAAAUUUGGUCACAUUAAAGGGAAAAUUUUGUCAACAAAAGUGACACAUUUUGAAAAGGUUUAAAUUUGAGAUUUAUUAUGUAUAAUUAUUUCUAAAUUAUUUAUUUUUGUAUUAGUUUUAGUUUGAUUAGUCAAUUUUAAUUUAAAUUGUUUCGAUUUUUAAUUUGCUUGUGUUGUAAUAUGUUAGUUUUACUUUAUCAUUGUUCAAACAUUUAUUUUUAUUUUUAUUUAAUUAAAUUAUAAUAGUAAGCUUAAAAAAGAGAGAGGGUAAACUACAUUAGUAGUCACUCAACUAUUAAUAAAUUUUUUUGGUUAUUCAAUUAUAAAAAGUUACAAAAUAGUUGCUCAUCUUUUAAAAUUAAUAUAAUAACAACUUUAACCCUCAAAUAUGUAUACAUUGUGUCAACUUAAUUUUUUUUUCUUAAAUAAUAGCUCAUAAUGUUUACAUUUGACCUAAUUUUGUAUUAUUUUUACAUGAAAAUAUAAGUCAAAACAUUAUUAGUAAAAUAGAAAUAAAAACAAAAAAAUUCUUAAAUUUUGCUUAUUAUUAAAUUAAAUAAUCUUCAAAUACAUUGCUUUCGUUAUAUUUUAAAUGGUUGAAAAUUUAAUAUCUCUCGAUGAUAAUUAACUAUUUUUUGGUAAAUAUAAAUGUCUCGUUUGAUUACUAGUGUAAUAACAGAUAAAUGAUUGUAUGAAACUGUGAUUCCACAUCAUCCUUAUCCCUUUCCAACGGGAGAAUGACAAAUCAAAUUUUUCCUUCUGAUUUUCAGCUUUUUUUUCUCCUGAAAAAAAAUUCAAAUCCAACUAAAAAUACUAGAAAUUAAGAGAAAAAUCCGAUUUGUCAUUUUCCCAUUAAAAAGGGAUAAGGAUAACGUGGAAUCGCAGUUCCAUACAAUCCUUUCUCGUAAUAGCAUAAGGAAAAUGUUUAUUUAUUAUGUAUGUAUUACAAUAGCUAGACAUAAAAUAAAUAAUAUUUAGUACAAUUUUAAACUUAAAAUUAGAAAUAUGAGUAAUAACUCUUGUAAAAAAAUAAGACCUUUUCAAAAAGUGAAAUAUUUUCUUCUUUGCUAAAAAAAAAAUUAUGGGAGUAAUUAAAUAUUACCAAUUGAAUAAGUUUAUCAUUAAUUCAUAUACUAAACAUAAAAAAAAUACUUUGACCAAAAUAGCAUAAGAGCUAAUUUUUUUUUAAAAAAAAAGUUAAGACCAAAUUGACACAAUGUAUAAAUGUUUGAGGGUUAAAGAUACUACUAUGUCAUUUUUAAAAGGUUGACACACCAUCUUUUCAUUGGCCAUGCAACAACAAGUGACCAAAAAAUAAAAAUUGAAUAAUUGGGUGACCAGUUUGUAACUUCAUAAUCAGGUGAUAAAAAAUUUUACUACUAAUUGGAUGACUAAUAAUGUAAUUUACCUAGAAAAUAUUAAAGGUUAAGCAAAAAUAUUUACUGAUUAAUUUUAAUAGAAGUCCUCAAAUAAUAAUUUAAAAUUUAAAUCGAUUCUUAAACUCUAAAAUGUUCCAAUUGAGACUUUAAAAUACUUUGUAUCGUAUUAACAUCAACUAGGUCGUUAAAUAAAUAUUCGGACAUGAUGUAAAACAUAUUUAGAACACAUGAAUUAAAAGUUAAAUUCAUGUAUACUUAUUGUAUAUACAAUUUAGAUAUAAAAUAUUAAAAAAAAAGCAGUGUCUUUAAAAUUUAUCAAGUCUAUUUUUUAUCACCUUAUAUCCAAAUUGGAGUACAAUACGUAAAUGUAUAUUUAAAAUUUAAUCUAUGUAUUUUAAUUAUGUUUCACAUGAAUUUUUAAUUAUUUAAUCUAAAAUUGAAGACUAAGUUAAAGAAAAACUUAAUUCAUACAAUAUUGAUAUUAUUGUAAGUAAAUUAUAAUAUAUAUAAUAAUAAAUUUAGCCCUCGAUAUUUAUAUUUUUUUUAUUAAUUUGACCAUUAUUUUUUUACCUAAGUUUGAUCAUGAACCUUUCAAAAAUAAUCAAAAUUAUUUUUUAAUAGAAAUAUUGACUAAAUAAUAAUUUUUAACGAUGUUGGGAUGUCAACUUAUGUGACAGUCUACGUCUACUGUUGAUGUGACAAUUCUUUUUAUAUGUUACGUUAAUAAAUAAUUUAAAUUUUAUAAAAAUAUAAAAUAAAAUAAAAUAAAAAUGCAAAAUGCAAAAAAUUAUAAAAUGUUCAUAGAUUGUCAUGCGAGUUGUCAUGUUUAAAAGUUUAAUGUUUUAGUCAAUAUUUUCAUUAAAAUAAUAAAUUGACUUUUUUUAAAAAAUUGAUAGUCAAAAUUAAAUAUUUUUAAAAUAUUGGAGGUCAAGUUUAGCUAAAAAAUAAUAAAAACCAUUGAUAAAAAAAAGAAAGCUAAAUUUAUAAUAUGACUUUAGAAUGUGAUACAUAGAUCUAAGCCACCACAUUAAAAAAGAAAAAAAUAAUAUUUAAUAUCAGUGUGGACCGAGUCAGCGCCAUUCGCCGCCUUCAACUCAAAAUCAGGGGCGCGUGCAUCACACUAUACACUCUCCCGAGAGUGAAAUUAACAUCUCCAAAGACAAAAAUAAUCCGCGGCAAUUCAUAAUUGGAAGGUACGAAUAUGCCCAACCACAACCAAGACGAUAAUUAAUUAAUUCAAUAGAAAAAAGGUAAAUCACACACGAAGUCACUAAACUAUUAGUAGGUCUACGUUUUAGUCACUUAAAUUCAAAAAGCUACAAAAUAGUCGCUGAAAUAUUUGAAAAUUUUCAUUUAAGUCACUAUACUGUUAAAAUCGCUGUUAUAUGGCAUUAUUUGUUCACACCGCUUGCACUAAUCGAAAGCUCUUCUUUUCAUUCUCUAUUACAACUUAGUUUUUUUUUCAUAAAAGAACUUUGAAUGUCACGAAUUCGCAAACCAAAAUCUAAGUAGCUUUCUUCUUCAAUCUUCGACAACCGUCAACUCGACUUGAAUUUAAGGUAUGUUUUUCUACUCGUCGAUGGGUACUAAUCCACCGUACUAUUUGUUGAAUCGUUGCUUGGAGCUUGCUAGCCGGAAUUAAAAAAAAAGCCCAGUGACUUGAAUAAAAACUUUCAAAUAAUUCAGUGAUUUAAAUGAAAACUUUCAAAUAAUUAAGUGACUAUUUUGUAACUUUUUGAAGUUAAGUGACCAAAAAGUAAACUUACUAAUAGUUUAAUGACUUUAAUUGUAGUUACCCAAAAGUUAUAACGAUAAAUAAAUAAGCGCCAAAUUUGCCCAAUGAUAAAUUGUCACGUCAUAUCUCUUGUUCCUUUUUUUAUCAUUUCGUUUCAAACAUCACCGGUCAACGUUCUCAAAUUUAUCUUCCGUUCUUCUUCAGCUCUCCUCUUCCCUUUAAAUCCCCCCCUAAAAAAAUUAGAAAUUUAGGGUUUUCAGAUUCACAAAGAUGCUGAAAUUAAUCUCGAUUCUGUUGCUAUUAAUCUCGAUUUCAUCAAUUUCAGUUGAAUCAAGGUGCAGCAGAGGCUGUGACUUGGCUUUAGCAUCGUACUACGUUUGGCAAGGAUCAAACUUGACCUUCAUAUCUCAGAUUCUUAACUCAAGCCUCGUACCGUACUCAACUACUAAUUUCGAUUCGAUCCUUGCUUAUAACCCACAAGUUGCGAACAAAGACAGUGUCGAAGCUUUUAGCAGGCUUAACAUCCCUUUCCCUUGUGAUUGCAUCAAUAACGAUUUCCUUGGCCAUGUUUUCACCUACUCGGUUCAACCGGGCGAUACUUACGAUAAAAUCGCUGGUUAUUAUUCCGAUUUGACGACGGUUGCUUGGUUGCGGCCGUUUAAUAGCUAUCCUGAGACCAAUAUACCCGAUAGUGGGGUGGUUAAUGUGGUGGUCAAUUGUUCGUGUGGAGAUUCUGCUAUUUCCAAGGAUUACGGUUUGUUUGUUACGUAUCCGCUCCGGGAAAAUGAGACUUUGGAUACUGUGUUGACUCAGGCGAAUUUGUCAUCGGAUUUAUCGGGGUUGGUGCGGCUUUACAACCCGGGGGCAAAUUUCAGCUCAGGGUCUGGCUUGGUGUAUAUUCCGGGACGAGGUGAUUCCUUUAAACCUUUUAUUUUUAUUUUUUUAAUUUUGCUCUAGGAUUAUCAUUUUCGAGCAAAGAUGAUUUCAUUAGUAUUUUAGUUUGAUUUUGUGUUUUUGUUAAUUUUAUAGGUAAAUAAAAAUGGGGUCUUUUUAUGCAGAAAAAAAAAGGAUAAUUUUUUAUGGGAUUUUAGUUUGAUUUAUUUGGUUUGAUUCUGUUUUAAUUGAUUCAAGUGAUGUUUUUUAUAUAUAUAUAUGUAUUAAAAUUUUAGUAAAAUAAAUGAAAUAAUUUUGUUCUUCGGUUACCCAUGGAAUUUACACAAAAUGUUUAUCUUGUUGUAAAAGUAUAAGGAGGCCCUGUUUUAGGAGUUGAUUGCAUUUUACCUCUUUACUAAAGAAUGAGUAAAUUAGUCUUUGUACAAAUAGAUUUUUUCUGUUAAAAAUUCAUCCAAAUCUAUUUUUCAAAAAUGGUGUAGCUGACGGAAUAGCUAAACAGUUACAUGUGGUAUGUCACGUGUACCUCCUGUUGACUUAUAGAGACUAGUUUUUGAUAGUGAAAAUAGAUGAAAUUUUUAACAAAAGGAGCAGUUUGCUCUUUGAACAAAUGUACAAGGACUAAUUUGCCAUUUUUUGAGUGGAGGAGGCAAAAUGCAAUCCACCUCUCAGUACAAGGACUUCCAUGAUAGUUUUACCUCAACUUGUUUAUAUUUUAACACCAAAGGGUAUGUCAUUUUGGUUGCAUACACUGAGUGUCAUGACAUGAACAACUGUUAAUUUCAUAAUUUGCCUCAAUAAGCGAUUUUUUUUUUUGUUUUGCAGAUGCUGAAAAUAGUUUUCGUCCCCUCAAAUCAAGGUACAUAAUAAAACAUCAAACUUUGAAGAUAGUUUAAUGAAUUAUUAUUGUUUGUUUAAGCUUUGAAUACUUCAAAUUUCUAAAUGUGCUUCUUCUUUCUUUCUGUUUUGCAGCAAAGGUGGGUUGGCCUUCUUUGCAUGUCGCUUUAUAUUGGGAUGUUGAUUGACUGGAAAUCUGUUAUACCUUAACCUUAUAUCUUGCCUUUAUAUAAGCAGGAAUUUCAGGUGGAGUUAUCGCCGGGAUAGCUAUAGCAGCCGUAGUGGUAUCACUAUUGCUGGCAUUUGGUAUUUAUGCUAAAUUUUUCCGAAAGAAGUCAAAGACAACAUCAUUGCUUUCGACGGUUUCCCAUGACGUAUCGGCUGAAGCUGGGAAUGGUACCCCGCAGCUCCUCUCUCCCCUUUUGGUUUUUAAUGAACGGCGGACUUAUUCACAAAUUUAAUGCUUUUUAAAGUAUUUUUAGACCGUUCCGCCAGUUGAAUCUCUGAAAACACAGUUCAUAUAGGCGAUUAAAUAGCAAUGCUGGCCUUUGCUCCAAAAUGUGGAGCAAAACAACAUGCUUUUAAUCUUGAUUACAUUAUCUUAAUUGCUAAUUGUUCGCUGCUCUUUCUUUUCUUUGUGGGAUCUGUUUAGUUUUUGGAAGCAAAGCAGCAGAAUCAACUGGAACUGUUGCUGCUUCUCCCGGCCUUACCGGCAUUACUGUAGACAAAUCAGUUGAGUUCUCAUAUGAAGAACUUGCCCAAGCGACUGAUUAUUUCAGUAUGGCUAACAAGAUUGGUGAAGGUGGCUUCGGGGCUGUUUACUAUGCAAAUUUGAGAGGCGAGGUUAGUUCGUAAUUGUCUAUGAUUCCAUUUAGUCAAGUCAUUGUUAGCUGUUAAUAAUGUUAAUACUCUUUAGAUGUGUCCUGUCACAUUUAGUACACUGUUUUCAUGUUUAUUAAACUUGUCAUGUCAGUGUUGUGUUUUCAUAAUGUCUCUUAUAUACAGAGUAAACAGAACUUUGCUGUUUCUGGCAUUUUCAUUGUAGCUUCCUGUUUAAUGCUUUUUAAGGCUAAAUAUACCUGCAUCUACAUCAAUGAACCAUUGCCUUCUCAUGUUGGUUCCAUAAGUCAUUUACGUGUUUAUUACUUGUUGUCCAGGAAGCUGCAAUCAAGAAGAUGGAUAUGCAGGCAUCCAAAGAAUUUCUGGCUGAAUUGAAGGUUUUGACACGUGUUCAUCACCUGAACCUGGUAAUAAUACUUUCUUUUUUCUCAUGCUUGGCAAGGUGUAUUAAGUGCAAUCGUGUUUGGAUUCUGCGAGUUAACAGCAAACCGAAACUUUUAAAAGGGUGGUCACCUUUUUUCUUCCUCUGUGAACAUCCUUUUGCAGUUAUGACCUUCUAAAUUUCUUAUUUUGAUAUUUAUCUUCAAAUUGAAUAUUAAUGUGGACAUCCAAUGCAGGUGCGUUUAAUUGGAUACUGUGUUGAAGGCUCUCUUUUCCUAGUUUACGAAUACAUCGAGAAUGGCAAUCUAAGCCAGCAUUUGCGAGGAUCAAGUGAGGCUUCUUACAUGGAAAUUAGUGCUACUGCUAUUGACUCAAAGCAGCACUAACAGAUUUCUGUUGUUUAUUUCCAGGCAGGGAGCCACUUCCUUGGUCUACUCGCGUGCAAAUUGCCCUUGACUCAGCCAGAGGUCUUGAAUAUAUCCAUGAGCAUACGGUCCCUGUUUACAUUCACCGUGACAUUAAAUCAGCUAAUAUAUUGAUAGACAAAAAGUUCCGUGCGAAGGUUAUUUUUUCCUAAUCUAUUAUCAGGUGAACUGUUCGAACACUUCUUGUCAUUGUUGUACUGAAUCACUUUUUAAAAUUAUCAUGAAGGUUGCCGAUUUUGGAUUAACGAAACUGACAGAAGUCGGAAGUGCAUCACUACCCACACGUCUUGUUGGGACAUUUGGAUACAUGCCACCAGAGUAAGAUAAUUUUUGUUUGCAGAAGUUGGUGUUCUUGUAAAAGUGGACUAAGUUCAUUCCUAUUUGUUUACAGAUAUGCUCAAUAUGGUGAUGUUUCUCCUAAAAUAGAUGUAUAUGCCUUCGGGGUUGUGCUCUAUGAGCUUAUUUCCGCUAAAGAAGCUAUUGUCAAGGCAAAUGGUUCUCUCGCUGAAUCAAAAGGUCUUGUUGCCCUGGUUAGUAUUCUUUCAAUACCUCUACAAUUCAUACAAAGCGGUAGGAACUAGGCCGAAUUCUGAAUUCAAAGAUAUUAUUUUUGUUGAAAUUGGAACCCUUUUUUUUUCCCCUUCUGCAGUUUGACGAUGCUCUUGAUGAGCCUGAUCCUAAAGAAGGCCUUUGCAGACUUAUCGAUGCAAGGCUCGGAGAUAAUUACCCACUAGACGCUGUAUUCAAGGUGAGAUUGAAUUCCUAGGAAAUAACUUGCUAUCUUUCAUGGUUUGAAUCUGAUGAAGUGAUUGUUUCGAUUGCAGAUGGCUCAGCUUGCGAAAGCAUGCACAAAAGAAAAUCCUCAGCUACGACCGAGUAUGAGAUCCAUAGUAGUUGCUUUAAUGACCCUUUCAUCGUCAACAGAGGAUUGGGAUGUUGGUUCUUUCUAUGAAAAUCAAGCUCUCGUCAACCUUAUGUCCGGAAGAUAAGGAACAAGGCGUUGGAAAGGCCUUUUCCUUCCACACCACCUUUAUUUUGUACCUAUGUCAAAUGAAUUUCUUUUUCUUUUUUUUUUCUCUUAAAGAAAAAAAAAAACAAAAAACAACAACUCAUUUAAGACCCAUUUUUUUGCUAUAUGUUCUUGAUUUGUCAUGUGAGAAUAAGAUCAAUGUACAUGUUCAUUAGAGCUAGGUUAAAAAAGUAUAUAGGCACUCUCAACAUUAUAGUCAAAAGUGAAAUUUUAGUUCAUAUAUUGUAUAGAACUGGAUAAUUUAAUCAUUUUAAGUUUAAUAUUUAGUGCAAACAAGUAAAAUUAUAUUAACAAUCUUGAUGGAAAAACAGUUUAAAUGCUUUUGUGAACUUUUGAAAUAUGAUUCUAUGAAAAAACAAAUGUAUGUUUUGAUUAACAUUGUUUAGUUCAGUAUUUAGAUGGUUUUUCAUUGACAUUGUUUUCAGUUUUACUUGUUCUUUUUGGGUGUAAUAUAAAAAAAACAAACAAUUAUAUGGACUUAUUCAUAAAUAAAGUGCCUCUAGUAUUAUAUUCUUGUAGAACUUCUUUAACUGCCACAGGAGCAUCUUCAAACAUAUGCAAGUUGUCGUCAUUUGAGAGAGUCAUUUUUACUAUUGCAUUCACUACCUUAUUAAGUUCUGUAAGAUGUAUUUCAAGAACCACUUCUCUUCAUUUGAUAAAAUUUGUUGAAUUCACCUAACUAGAAUGGAAUUUGAUCCUUUAAGUUUACUAUCACCAAUAAUUAUAACCACCUCAAGAUUAUCAGAUUGGAUGACGACCUUAUCAUAAUCUUGUUUUUAAAGCAGAAGUAAACCAUCUAAAAUGCACCAAAGUUCCGCAACAAAAACCGAACACUUCCCUAAGAAAAUAUUGUAGCCCAAAAUCCACUUCCCCUUUUCAUCUCGUAUUAUUUCACCUACGCCAAAGAAACCAGAUACAAUCUGAACAACUUCACCAGUGUUAAGGAAAAAACGCAUACCUAAAGUCAUUUGUUUAGAAUAGUGUUGCUGUGAACUGAAUAAUAUUGAUUUGCCCAGUUGUAUGAUACCUUAAUAAUUUCAUCCGGAUUCAUUAAUUUACCAUGGAAAAAAAUUAAAGUUCUAUUUUUCUAGAUGCUCCAAAAUAAUAACCCAAAGAAGCAUGCCCAUUUUGAUUCUCUCAAGUUGAGAUUGGAUUCAACCUACAAAUUUGAAAGCAUUCAAUCCUGUAAAUUACCAUAGAAAAAUGCUUUUUUUGGUUUGGUGGGAGAACACAGUUCUAGAUAUCUUUGGCAGUCUCUAAGAACAUGUAAUACAUCCUAGAUUCCAUGGCACAAAGGUGACGCGACUCGUCUUGUCCAAUCUCCCUCUGAAUCUUUUUAGAAUUAGUUAGAAGUCUCUAUUUUGAGGCUAACCAAUAAACUGUCGCACUCUUUAAGGGCUCGAGAAUUUCCAUACAAUGUUCCAAAUACCAUCCCUUGUAUUCCAAGACUUCUCCUUUAGCAUCCAGCAUGCGCUUUUAACUAAAAAGACACCAUACAAAGUACAAGUCCAUGAUAAAAAAUCUGAUCCCGUAGAAGCCAUAAGUGGUGGAACACUAAUAUUGAUUCAUUGGAUGACAUCUUCUAGCAACCAUACUCGAAAAAAUUCGAGAUUCCAAGUACUGUUUUCCGUUACCAUCUCGCUCACCUUGCAAUCUAAGUUAAUAUUCGCAUGGCCUGGGACAUGUUUAAUUAAAGGUUCCACAUUAGGAACCCAAGCAUCAUCCCAACAACGAACAAUACAUCCAUCACCCGCUGACCAAAUCAUAUCAUCUCGUAGUAAAUGCCAUACCUUAGCAAUGAAUUUCCACAUAAAGGAACUUCUACUCCGGAUGAUACACUUCAAUAAACUCUCGUUUAUUCCAUACUUCGCUUUGAGAACCCUAACCCAUAAGCCAUUCAUCUUAGUGACAAUAUUGUAACCAAGUUUCAUCAUGAAAGCUUUAUUUUGAUCACUCAAGCAAUAAAUCUCAAGGCCUCCACACAAUCUAGGCUGACAAAUAGUGUCCUGCCUAACUAAAUCUAUUUUCCGUUUCCCCUAAGGGGCACCCCAAAUAAAUUGCCUUGCAGUUUCUUACAAAAGCUGAAGUAUUCAAAUUUAUAAUUUAAGGACUAAAUUUCACUUUUGAUUAUAAUAUAGGAAUUGCCUAUAUAUAUCAUACAUGUUAAAAUUGUAGACUUUUGGUUUUAAACCAAAAGUUUCUAUUUCUUGCAUUCUUUUUUCCCCUAUACUUUUAGGCUUUUUUUUUAUUUCUCAAAAUAUCUAUUGGGGUGAGUCUAGUGACUAAUCUUCUGCAUUUUGUAAGUCUAUUAAGGGGUAGAUGUUGACUAUGAGUUUAGAUUUCAUAAGUAAGGUUAGGGGUUAACAAAUGUCCUAUAGAGAUGUAUAGUAAAAUGUUUUUAAAAAAUACACAUGACAAAAUUUUAAGAUUAUUUGUGGAAUAAAAAAAAGUACAUUGUUAGUAUACUAAAUACUAACCCUAUAUAUAUACACUUCUUGUAAUAUAUUAAAAGCAAUAUAUAAAGUAGAAAAAUUUAAAGUUAUAUUGAAGAGCAGUCAUACCCCUAUUACUAAUGCGAUAGCAAAUAAUAUUUACAUAUAAUAUAGACUUGACAUUAGGGGUGAGCGUUCGGUCGAGUCGAAUCGAAUGAAAAAAGUUCGAGUUAAUCAAGUUGAUGAAUCUUAUUUUAUCAUCCUAACUCAAUUUGAAAAUUUCUCAAAUCGAGUAGAGUGAGAUGGAAUUCGAAUCGAAUCAAAUAUAUUUGUUUGAGUUAAAUUACAAAAAUAAUUUUGAGUCCUUGUAGUCACUGUCAUCCACCAUAAUAAAUCAGUUAAAUAUAAUAUAUUUUGCCCAAGUUAUUAGUAACUUAAGGGUAAAAUUUAAUAGUCUUGAUUUGAAUAAAAUUUUAAUUGUAAGGACGAAGCAGCAAUUUUCAGUAAUGGACUAAGACUUACUUUAUAUAGUAUGGUAAUCUAAUAUAUAUUGAAAGGCCCAAAAAUCCCUGUUCCAAACCCUAAACCUAAAAUCCUCUCAUAGCGCCGCUGUCGAUCUUCAACCUUUCAUACCGCAAACAAUGGUAAAUCUCCCUUCAUACUCUUCGCUUUGGCCAUCUCCAGUUAUCCAUUUCACGUUAUUUUAAGUUUCCAGCUACUAAUACUCGAAUUCGCUUUGUAAUUUUUUUUUUGUUUUUCUUACUGGUGUGAUUUUUCAGGUUCUCCAAAACGACAUCGAUUUGUUGAACCCUCCGGCCGAGCUCGAGAAGAAGAAGCACAAGCUCAAGCGUCUUGUUCAAUCUCCCAAUUCCUUCUUCAUGGUUAUAUAUAUAUUUAGCCUUUUCUUACAUAAAAUUUUUUCAUGUAGUGAUUCGUUAUAUAUGGUGGAUUAACAUUUUUCUUUUUAAUUUUUUGCUCUCUCUAAAGGAUGUCAAAUGUCAAGGCUGCUUCAACAUGUAAGUUUUUUUUUUUUGGUUUUAAUUAGUGUUUAAUUGAGUGAUAAAUCUCAAAAUUAUACACAUGAAAUUUUGGUAUUUAUUCAAAAUACAUCUAUAAUUAUUUGUGUAUGCAAUAAAUUGAUUCAAUAUUUAUAAUGAUGUUACUGAUGUGAAAAUUAAAAAAAAUAAAAAUUUUAUCUGCACCAAAUUGAAGAUUAGGGAUAAAUCAUAAUUACUGGGUUUAUAUGUUAGAUGUGCUUCGACAUGUAAGUUUUUGUGGUAAAAGUACCAUAGCAGCCAUUAUACUGAGAGCCAAAUUGUAUUUGGCCUCCUUUACUACAAAAGGGUAAAUUAGUCCUUGUACAUUAGAUGAGGAGGAAAUUAAUCUUUUUUGCUAAAGCUGACGUGUUUGACAGAAUAAUCAAGUAGUGACACGUGGUGUGCCACGUGCACCUUGUGCUGAUGUAAAGAGAUCAGUUUUUUCUUUAGUCUAACGUAGAUAGACCAAUUUGAUCAUUUUUUGAGUAGAGGGGACAAAAUGCAAUUUGGCUCCUAGUACUUUUACCGUUUGAUGUUGGUUUUUGGUUUUAAUUAGUAUUUAAUUGAUGAAUAUAUAAUCUUAAUUUCUGGGUUUUUGUUUUAUUUUUGGUAGAACAACCGUAUUUAGCCACUCUCAAACUGUGGUGGUGUGUGGGAACUGCCAGACGGUUCUAUGCCAGCCGACUGGCGGUAGAGCUAGACUCACUGAGGGCUGCUCUUUCAGGAAAAAGGGUGACUAAAUCCGAUCCAGCGGCGACGAGUCGAGGAAGAGUUGUUUUUUUGUAUGGUCCCACUCUGGUUAUCUUUUUGAUGUGGUAAAAUUUGUCUCAAAUCUUGGAAGUAGAAUUAAGGAUUUUAGAAUGACUAUUAUGUGCUAUUGUUCUUGAUUUAGUGUGGAUGGUUUUUGGGUUUAAUGAAUUUUGUUUUGAGUUGCAUUUGAUCGGUUUUCUGUGUUUGAUAUAAAAUAUUUAUGGUCUAAUUAUAUAUUCCAUCCAUAUACAUAGUCUCCCUACUUUAAGUAGUCCAAUUGUUCUGACUGAUUUGAUCCUUGGACCCUACAAAAAUUGAGAAAUUAGUUGGGUUGUUAGUAAACACUUGAGCAGCUGAUUUUAGUUGAUUUUUUUUUUGGUAUAUAUAAAUGGCUGAGUUGCUAAUUUCAGGUGAUUUAAUGACAAUGUUUAACAAAUGUUACCCUAUUUGACUAAUCUUUAAUUUUUGUGAAGUAAGAGAAUCAAAAUUUGAGUUUUUUAAAAUGGCUUAUUACAUGGUUUAGUACUUGAGUUUGACUUUUUCUAUGUAAUUUUUUGGUCUAAUAUGAUACUUGUAUGUGAUAGAAGUUGUAUAUUUUGGUGCCCAAAAGGAAUGAUGAAAACUUUUAAUGUGUAAUUUGAGUUUUAAAGUUGAUUUAAUAAAAAUCUACAAUUAGCUAAUAAUUUUAACUAUUAACUUUCAUUGAACUGUUUGUAUUUAACAAAUUAAAUGCGAAGUUAAACAAAUUCAUAAUUAAUAUUAUAUUUAUUUAAUAAAAUAAUAAAAAAUUUAAACAUAAUAAUAUUAUCCAUUAAUUUGUAUCAAUCUACUCUAAAAUUUAAAUUGAACACUUAUUAUUUUUGGGAGUCAAAAUAUAUAAUUUUUUUGUGAAAUAUGGAUAUGUCCAUAUUGGACGAAAGAGUGUAAUACACUAAAAAGAGUGUCAAACUUCAUUACGAAAUGCUAUAUUAAACUUUCUAGAAUUUGCUCGAAUUUGUUCUAAUUAUGUGAUAAAAAGACUUAUCUCUGUUGAAUAUUGGCAAUAUCUCACAUUAGGAAAAGAUAGAAAGGGAGGGGGUUUGGUUUGUUAUAUAUAGAACCCCUCCCCCUUAGGUUUCAUCAUCCCAAAAUCUCAUUUUGAAAAUCCAAGUAGCUAAUUGUAACUUGGUGUUGAUAUUCUCUUUUGUAAUAUUUCUAGCGGAAAUAUUAAUUUGGUAGUGUCCGAGCACGUAAGCUAAAUUGGCCGAACCUCGUUAAAUUCUGGUGUUUUAUUUCUUAUUUGUUUGCUUAUAUUUAAUAGCUUUAUGUUUGUUAUAUUUAUUUAGUUAUUAUUGCUAUAAAUAAUUAAGUGAGUUCUGUCUAGUUGUUGGGUUUUAAGUGGGACCAUUUGUGACCCCUCCAAUUUAACUGAGAAUUUUCUUAGUAUAAUUGUUGGCAUAAUAAUUAUCUAAAUAUUUCUGAUAAUAUUGUUAUUAAUAUUAUUGUCGCUUUCGCAACAAUUGGUAUCAGAGCCAAGGUUUUGUAGUAUGCUCUAUGUUUGCAGCUUAGUCUGAUCUUACACAUCAGAAACAUUUCCUAAAGCUUGUGGGUAUUCCGCAUUUGGUGGCUAUUAAAUAGAAGCUAUGGCAAAAAUGACAGAAGAAAAACCAUCCACAUCAACAACCACGUCGUACAUUUUGUCGAGGGUUGGAACUGCAAAUACGAGAUUUACAGUGGAAAUUUUUGAUGGAACAGGUCAUUUCGGCAUGUGGCAAAGUGAGCUUCUAGAUGCCCUCUUUCAACAAAGUCUAGAUAUUGCCAUUGAGGAAGAAAAACCAGAAGGGGUUGAUGAUAAAGAAUGGAAGACCAUCAACUGAUUGGCAUGUGGUACAAUUCGAUCAUGUCUUUCCAAAGAGCAGAAGUAUACAUUCAGUAAAGAGACUUCUGCAAGUAAAUUGUGGAAAGCAUUGGAGGAGAAAUUCCUGAAGAAGAACAGUCAAAAUAAGUUGCAUAUGAAGAAAAGACUGUUUCGUUUCAGUUAUGUUCUUGGUACCACGAUGAACGAGCACAUUACCAAUUUUAAUCAGCUGGUGGCUGAUUUGUUGAAUUUGGAUGUGACUUUUGAAGACGAAGACUUGGCGUUAAUGUUGUUGGGAUCACUUCCUGAGGAGUUUGAGUACCUUGAAACUACUCUACUUCAUGGAAAGUCAGAAGUAACUUUCAAUGAAGUAACUGCUGCAUUGUAUAGCUAUGAACUACGCCGAAAGGAUAAGUUGAAAGGUUCAGGUGAAGCAGCAGUGGAAGCAUUGGUAACAAUAGGUCGUCAGCAAAGUCAGUCUAAGGGGAAGAGAAGAAAGUCCAAAGGUCGAGCUGUUGCCAAAGAUGAAUGUUCCUUUUGCAAAGAAAAAGGACAUUGAAAGAAAGAUUAUCCAAAAUUGAAGAAAAAAGGGAAGACUCCGCAAGAUGCAAAUGUUGCAAAAUGCAAUAGUGAAGCAGAGUCAGACUUUUCUCUUAGUAUGCCAUCUUCAACAUCACAUGCAGAUGAGUGGAUCAUGGAUUCUGGUUGUUCCUAUCAUAUGUGUCCCAUUUGGGAAUGGUUCUUUGAAUUUCAAAAACUAGAUGGAGGAGUUGUUUACAUGGGUAAUGAUAACACAUGUAAAACAACCGGGAUAGGUUCAAUUAAACUAAGGAAUCAUGAUGGAUCUACUAGAAUUUUGCAGGAUGUACGAUAUGUCCCAAAGUUGAAGAAAAAUCUCAUCUCUUUGGGGUCUUUAGAAUCUAAAGGCCUAGUUGUGACAAUACGAGAUGGAGUUCUUAAAGCAACUUCAGGAGCAUUGGUGAUGUUGAAAGGCAUAAGAAAGAACAAUAUGUAUUACUACCAAGGUAGUACAGUGGUCGGGACAACAGCAGCAGCAAUUUCGAGUACCAAGAAGGACGCUGAGGCAACACAGCUGUGGCAUAUGCGUUUGGGCCAUGUUGGUGAAAAAUCCUUGCAAACCCUAGCGAAGCAAGGAUUAUUGAAAGGUACAAAGACUUGCAAACUUGAAUUUUGCGAGCAUUGUGUUCUGGGAAAACAACGAAUGGUGAAAUUUGGCACUGGGAUUCACAAUACCAAAGGUAUUCUAGAUUAUGUGCAUUCUGAUGUAUGGGGAUCGUCCAAGACUCCAUCACUUGGAGGAAGACGUUAUUUUGUCACAUUUAUUGAUGAUUUUUCCAGAAGAGUUUGGGUGUUUCCUAUGAAGAACAAAGAUGAGGUCCUUGAAGUUUUCCUUAAGUGGAAAACUAAAGUUGAAAAUCAGACAGGAAGGAAGAUUAAGGUUCUCCGAUCAGAAAACGGUGGAGAAUAUAAAAGCGAUCCAUUCCUGAAGAUAUGCCAAGAUUGUGGCCUAGUAAGGCACUUCACCGUAGGUGGAACACCUCAAUAGAAUGGGGUGGCAGAGCGUAUAAAUCGAACGCUUGUGAAGAAAGUUCGAUGUAUGUUAUCUAAUGCUGGAUUAGAUAGAAAGUUUUGGGCUGAGGCUGUGACGUACGCUCAACAUCUCAUCAAUCAUUUGUCAUCAUCUGCUAUAAAUGGCAAGACUCCUUUGGAGGAAUGGUAUGGAAAACCUACUACUGAUUAUGACACAUUGCGUAUUUUUUGGUUCUAUUGCAUAUUAUCAUGUGAAAGAAUCAAAGUUAGAUCCAAAAGCAAAGAAGGCUCUAUUCAUGGGCUUCAAUACUGGUGUUAAGGGAUAUCGUUUGUGGUGUCUAAAGGCAAAGAAGACGAUAAUCAGUAGGGAUGUUACCUUUGAUGAAUCUGUCAUGUUGAAUAAGGUAAAUCCAGAAGGAGUGAGUAGUACUCCGCAGUAGGUGGAGUUUGAGCAGAGUGUGGUAAUUCCAGCAGAAGGUACCACUAGUGAUUCUUCAUUGGCAGAUGCAGAGUCAGAUGAGGAAGAUGUUUCUACCCAAAAACCUCAACAGCAAUCAGAGCCAAUUGCAGUCAGAAGGCAGAGACGAGAAAUUCAGAAACCUGCUCGUUUCACUGACAUGGUAGCUUAUGCACUUCCAGUUGUUGAUAAUAUUCCAUCCACUUACACCGAAGCCAUUCAAAGUUUAGAGAAUAAUAGAUGGUUAGGUGCAAUGGAAGAGGAAAUGCAAUCUCUAGAGAAAAACAAGACGUGGAAGCUGGCACAACUACCAAAAGGGAAUAAGGCGAUUGGUUGCAAAUGGGUAUUUGCAAAGAAAGAAGGAUUUCCUGACAAAGAAGAUGUUCGUUACAAGGCAAGGUUGGUGGCUAAAGGCUACGCUCAGAAGGAGGGAAUUGACUAUAAUGAGGUAUUUUCUCCAGUUGUUAAAUAUUCCUCUAUUAGAAUUUUGUUGGCCUUGGUAGCGCAGUUGAAUUUGGAGCUAGCUCAACUUGAUGUGAAGACCGCGUUUCUACACGGUGAUUUGAAGGAGGAAAUCUAUAUGACUCAGCCAGAUGGAUACAGGGUUGCUGGUAAAGAAAAUUGGGUUUGUAAACUUAGCAAAUCGUUGUACGGAUUGAAACAAUCUCCGAGACAACGAUACAAACGAUUUGACAGGUUUAUGAAGGACCAGAAGUACAAAAGAAGGAAAUACGAUCAUUGUGUGUAUUUGCGCAAGCUUCAAGAUAGUUCCUACAUCUACUUACUCUUGUAUGUUGAUGAUAUGCUGAUUGCAGCAAAGAGCCAAAUGGAAAUUGAUAGACUGAAGGCUCAGUUGAGUAAAGAGUUUGAGAUGAAGGAUUUAGGGGAAGCCAAGAAGAUUCUCGGCAUGGAAAUAACUCGGGAUAGAAAGAGGGGCAAACUUUGGUUGUCACAAAAAUAAUAUUUAGAGAAGGUAUUACAACGUUUCGGUAUGUCUGAAGGUACAAAACCUGUAAGUACCCCACUUGCUCCUCAUUUUAAACUGAGUAACCAGUUAUCUCCAACGACUAAUGAAGAACGAGAGUACAUGGCAAAAGUCCCAUAUGCAAAUGCAGUUGAAAGCUUGAUGUAUGCAAUGGUAUGUACGAGACCAGAUAUUUCACAGGCUGUUAGUGUUGUUAGCAGGUACAUGCAUGAUCCGGGUAGGGGUCAUUGGCAAGCUGUGAAAUGGAUUCUGCGGUAUCUCCAAAAUACCAUAGAUGUCGGAUUGGCAUUCGAGCGGGAUGAAUCACUUGGUCAAUGCAUAGUUGGAUAUUGUGAUUCUAAUUAUGUAGGUGAUUUGGAUAAGCGACGGUCUACAACUGGCUAUUUGUUUACUUUAGCAAAAGCGCCAGUUAGUUGGAAAUCUACCUUACAGUCCAUGGUUGCUUUGUCUACAACAGAGGCAGAGUAUAUGGCAAUUACAGAGGCUGUGAAGGAAGCAAUUUGGCUUCACGGAUUGCUUAAAGACUUGGAAGUUGGUCAGAAACAACUUAAGGUAUAUUCUAACAGUCAGAGUGCUAUUCAUUUAGCAAAGAAUCAAGUCUUUCAUGCACGAACGAAGCACAUAGACGUUCGCUAUCACUUUGUGCGGGAAAUUCUUGAAGAAGAGGAGAUACUUCUCCAAAAGAUUCACACUACGGAGAAUCCUGCAGAUAUGCUGACUAAGGUGGUUACAAGGGCCAAGUUUGAACAUUGUUUAGACUUGAUCAAUGUCCGACACAUUUGAUAUGGCGUCGUUGGCGCAAAUUUGAAGACACUAUUGAAGUUUGUGUUAUGAGAAGAUGUUUGAAGAUGUGGAAUAUCGCCAAGGUGGAGAUUUGUUGAAUAUUGGCAAUAUCCCACAUUAGGAAAAGAUAGAAAGGGAGGGGGUUUGGUUUGUUAUAUAUAGAACCCCUCCCCCUUAGGUUUCAUCAUCCCAAAAUCUCAUUUUGAAAAUCCCAGUAGCUAAUUGUAACUUGGUGUUGAUCUUCUCUUUUGUAAUGUUUCUAGCGGAAAUAUUAAUUUGGUAGUGUCCGAGGACUUAAGCUAAAUUGGCCGAACCUCGUUAAAUUCUGGUGUUUUAUUUCUUAUUUGUUUGCUUAUAUUUAAUAGCUUUAUGUUGGUUAUAUUUAUUUAGUUAUUAUUUCUAUAAAUAACUAAGUGAGUUCUGUCUAGUUGUUGGGUUUUAAGUGGGACCAUUUGUGACCCCUCCAAUUUAACUGAGAAUUUUCUUAGUAUAAUUGUUGGCAUAAUAAUUAUCUAAAUAUUUCUGAUAAUAUUGUUAUUAAUAUUAUUGUCGCUUCCGCAACAAUUGAUAUCAGAGCCAAGGUUUUGUAGUAUGCUCUAUGUUUGCAGCUAAAAGUAAUUGUGAUUUAAUACAUAAACUAAAAUAAAUCUUUUACUCGAAGGAGUGCUCGAAGGAUGCAAUGAAUAAUUGUGAUUUGAGUAUUUUUAAGGUGAGAAUUUGGUGAGGGUAAAAUGGAGUUCUUCAAGCACCAAAUCAGUAAUUGGUGGAGGAGGGAGGGAGUAGAAAUCAGAAUACAUCCGCAUUUUAUUGAACCAAACAGCUGUUUGUGUGGACCUAUAGAAUAGACUUGUAACCAAACAUUACCUUAUAAUUCCAUUUGCAACAAUUAACUAACUAAUACUUGUAAUAGAGGCAGAUUUUGUCCAAAACAAACUUCGAUUGUUAAGAAUCAAAUGCAGAAAAAAAAUGCGUUGUUUAUGGACUUGGGAAAUCUGAGUUAGGUCUUUGAAACCCGAAUAACUUCCUUUAUUAUUAUUAUUUAAAUAUUAAAAGAUAAAAACAAUUUUUAAUUAAAUGUACAUUUUUUAUUACAUAAAUUUUAAGAUAUGAUAUGACAUUAUACAUAAAUAUUCAAGUAUGUGAAAAAACACAAAUUAUUUAUCAUUUUAUAAUCCAUACUUAUUUUAAAAUUGUGUAAUAUUGAAAGUCGAAUAGGAGGUAACACAAUUUGAGAUGUCUAAUAAGAAUUUUAAUCACCGUCAAGACUUCUUAAAAAACCACUUAAUUAUUACUGUAUAUUUACAAAAAGAAUAUAUUAAAAACAAAUUAAAAUUUGAUUCAAGUUUUGAAAAUCAUGAUGCUUGUGUUCAUAUAAAUAUAAUUACAAAAGGCAAAAAUACUCUUAAUAAUAAUUAUUUUAUAAAUGACGAAAUUAAAUUAAUAUUCAAUUAAACAAUCCCAACUUGAAAUGAAAAAAUAGACGAUAUUUCAAUGAAUUUUCAGAAAUGAAAAAUGAGUAGUGUGGUAAUUUUAAGAAGAGAAAACAAAGCUUCAAUAUGUCAAAAUCAAAGUCCUGGUCCCCUACUUUCAUCAUUAUUUUACUUUGAUCAUUAUUGUUAUAAUCAAAGGCCAAAGGACGGAAAUGAGAUCUCUCCGCCUUCUUAAAAUAAAAAAUUAUUACCCUCUACUUUUAAAAUUAAAGUUGAUAUAUGGUAAAUUUAUAGUUAGAAUUUCGAUUUAAUCAUUUUCAAAAUCAUAAAAAUAUAAACCAAUGCAAGAAUAAAAUUGUAUUUCAACUAUCAUAAAAAUAUAUAACUUAAUCUCGACCCUUAAAAGUUUUUCUCACUUCAUUCCUGGUUAUAAGCUUACUUAAAUGUGCGAUAAUCUUGAAAGACUUGAAAUAUAAGCCACUACAAAUUGCAUUUGAAAUAUUUUACUACCUUUAAUUUUGAUUAACACAUCAUCAUUAUGAACUCUUGAGUUUGAGAUAGAUUGUUUUGCAUCUAUUUGAUUAAUAAAUAAUUAAUACAAAAAUAAUACUUUAAUUUGAACAAUAGAUCAAGAUUCAUUUUAUAAUAAUAAUAAUAAUAAUAAUAAUAAUAAUAAUAAUUUGAAAAAUAAAUUAAAGUGUAAUAUAGGAAUUUGGUAGCUAGCAGGAGCACGGUGGGCAACUGGGCAUUGCUUUGGUGUUUAUAUUUAUUAGCCAUCAUCAAUAAUUUUGUUUUUCUUUAAAAAGGUUGUACAUUCCAAUUAAAGUUAAGUAAAAGAUUCAUGAAUUUAUAUUCAACUCAAAUCAUGUUUUGCACAUGUAUUUGAUUAAUGAAAAAACGUGAAAUAAAUGUUGUAUGAUGUCCUCUGGUAUAUUAGUUCAUUAGGUAUUAGGUAUUAGGUAUAAACAUUGUUGUUAACACUACACCAAAACAGGCUUUUAGCGGCGUUUGGAUAAAAAAACGCUAAAAUUUUAUUUUAGAAAAAUUGCUGUUAUAAAUUUGAGAGUUAGGUAAGAUUUUGAGUUGAGGCUUUAGAGCAAACUAAUGACAACAUUUUACUUUAGAAAUUGAGGGUUUAUCAACAAAUUAAAAGAAGAUUUAAUAUGAUAUUUUUAUGAAAAAAGGUAAAAUGUCAAAUAAUUAUAAUUAAAAUCAAAUUAAACAUAAUGAAACUUAACCAAACCAAGACAUAUUGAAUCAUUGAAGUUGUCAAAACCUAAAUAGUUUUUGUUUUUAAUUUUUAUUUGAAGUAAUUAAUUAUAAAUGAAGCCCAGGUUCUCAACUUCAUACGAACUGCCUUCCACUACAUGAUGCAUGGUAUAAUUAGGAAAUAUUGCUUUUCACAAAAAAAAUUAAUAAUUAAUAAUUAUAUAAUGCCUCCAAAUUACAUAUUAAGUGUUUUAUCUACUUUGUGAAGUUGAAUUCGUAUUCUAAAUAUGAAAAUUUUAUUUCAAUUUUAAAAGAGGUAAUUGUGUUGAAACUCUUAUGAGAAAGUGAUAAGAACGGUUAGAAUUGCAUAUGACAUUGCCUACAAUUUAUAACUUAUCUUUAUUUGCAAUCUUUUAAACUAAAAGAUGAUAUUAUAGACAUGUGUUGACUUAUAUUUGAACGUUGAUCUAAUCCCACGGACUAACAAAUCUUUAAAUAUUUGAAUUGAUCCAAAUCAAGCAAAUUGUAUCUCUUGAUUUGUGGAGAUUGACUUGCAGCCAUAUCUUGUAUAUAUUUUUAUGAGAAUAUUUGUAAAGCUUUUUUUAUUAUGCUAUGUUAGGGAAAUGUUUGCACAAAUUAGAAAAAAAGGUGCUGAGUUUAGUACUUAAACUUUUUCUUUAGGAAUUCAUGUUGUAAAUUGGUUUACAAACUACAUUUUCAAAGGGAAAAGCUUACUAGAAAGAGAUCUAGAUUUUAAUUAGUGCAUAAGUAAGGAGAGAAAACUUAGUUGAGAGAGAUCUUGAUCUUACAUGGCGCAAAAGUAAGGGGAACAAACCUUGGAGGAGAGAAAUAUAAAUUUUCAGUGCAAAAAUAAAGUUACAAUACCAGGUGUGAAAAAACUUAAAUAAUUGUUUAUACCAAGUUAAACAUAAUUAAUUAUCACUCUUGUACAAACUCUACAAACAUAGAUAAAUUGAACUGUGUAAAGAAAUAAUAAUAAAAACACCUCCCGUUAUGACGGUCUUGAUAAUGUCGAAGUCGUCACGUUUUAAUUAUCAUCAAAUUUAUUUUAGCUUAAGUUUAAAGAUAUUUUGAUCAUUAAUUUGUUGUAAUUAUUAUUGUACUUGUUAGAUCAAAUAUUUAUCUUGAUUAAUACAUUAAACACAUUUAUUUAAUCAUUUACUUAUAUAUAUAUAUAAACUUAUAUUUUUAAAAAGAGUUUAAAUUAGAUUAGAAUGAUACUAAAACAAUUAGUUUUUAGGUAUUAAUUAAUAACAUGUCACAUCAUAAUUACGGUUUUAACUCUAAAAUUAAUAAAUUAUUUUUAUAAAAUUCUAAAUUUUCAAACCCUAAAUCCCUUGAUAUCUAAACCUAAUCUAACAAUUCUAACCCACCAUACCAUAAACAACCUUAUAGUUACUACUUACUAUUAUUAUUUGUUAAUCUUAUUUAAUUUGUUUACAUUAAUUAGGAUUAAAAUAAUAGUAAGGAAAAUUAAUUUAAUGUUAGAAAGUGAUAGAAAAUAUUUUCCCACAAUUUAAAAUUAAGAUUUUAAAAUAUUCUAAAAAAAUAAAAAAUAAAAAAUAAAAUUGGGAAUGUGAGACGAAGAGGCUACACUGUUUAUACGCGGCUGAAUCUUUGCUUUCUCUCAACAAAAAUCUAUUCCUUUGCGGGUUCACUUCCUUACUUAACCAUCUUAUAAAUUAGUAAAAGAUUUAUAUAUAAAUAUUUGAUUUUGAUAUCCCACACAUGCAAACAUUUUAAAUAAUAAAAUUAAUAAUUUACCUCUCAAACCAUUUUGGAAUUUGGAGAUCAAUCAAAUCAGCUAGACAUGUCCUUAUCAUAAUCAUAUAAUUACCUAUGAAUUCCACGUUUUGCUGAAUAAUCAAAUAACUCUUAUUACCCUCUAAACCCUAAACUUUAUCUUAUCACAUCUUUUACUUCUUUCAAUCUUCAAUCUUCAAUCUGAAAUUUUUGUUUUUUUUUAAAACAAUAUUUACUAAUUAGUUCAUUAAAUAAUAAAAAAGGAGCUUGAUUAUUAAAAAAAAAAAUUUGUGAAAGAGCUGAGCAACUUCCAUUUGGUGCUAAUAACUUCUACGAAAUGGGAUGGGAGUGGUCCAAACUUAGUUAUGGUCAAAUUUACUAAGAAAGAAAUGACUCAAUUAGAGCCAUCAAAGUGUGGGUCCAUAUCCAAAAGUUGGAGGCAAAUCAAUUUUAGCCAUAGAUGUAGCCCCUCAUUUUCUCUUUCAAUUUUCUAACUCUUUUUUUAUUAACAUUAUAUCAAAAAUUAAGUAUAUUAUUAAUUAGGACAUGUGGUAUAAUGGUUGCUUAUCUCAUCUCUUAAUUAUGUGGUUAGGGUUCAAUCUUUAUUUAUGGGAGCCAUCCGUUUACUUUUUUAGAGAACACUUACAGUAAAAAAAAAUAAUCCUUACCAUCCAAUAUGGAUAUCUUAAUUACCACAAAAACAUUAUUUGUAUCCAAUUUUUUUCUUUAUUAAAUUAUUAUUUUCAUACCUACAUCCACUUGAAUUAUAGACGCUUCGGCCACACUUGAAACUAUCUAUAAAUAGCCCCACACCACACCCCUUUCCUCCACUCUGCAUUAAACAACUCUAAGCGCAUAAUAACAUCCCUAUUGUGCUUAGCAAAAAAAUAAAACCCCAUUGUAAAACAGCCUCACUUUGAAAGAUUUUAAGAGAAAUGGCAAAAUUCCCAGUGAUCAACAUGGAGAAACUCAAUGGCGAGGAGAGAGCAGCAACCAUGGAGUUAAUCAAAGAUGCAUGCGAGAAUUGGGGCUUCUUUGAGGUACUAAAAGCUAGUUAUAUAUUUUCUAUUCUCCACUACAUACUUUCUUUUUAUUAUUAUGCUAAUCAUUGUGGUUCAUUUGGUGCAGGUGCUAAACCAUGGGAUUCCCUAUGAUUUCAUGGACAAAAUUGAAAGCUUGACGAAAGAGCAUUACAAGAAAUGCAUGGAGCAAAGGUUUAGGGAAUUGGUGGCAAGCAAGGCCCUUGAGGGUCUCCAGGCUGAGGUUACUGAUAUGGACUGGGAAAGUACCUUCUAUUUGCGCCAUCUCCCUGAAUCCAACAUGGCUGAAAUCCCAGAUCUAACCGAUGAAUACAGGAAGGUGAUGAAAGAAUUUGCAUUGAAAUUGGAGAAACUAGCAGAGGAGCUGCUGGACUUGUUCUGUGAGAACCUUGGGCUCGAGAAAGGGUACCUCAAAAAGGCUUUCUAUGGGGAAAAAGGUCCGACCUUUGGCACCAAAGUUAGCAACUACCCACCAUGCCCCACCCCAGAUAAAAUCAAGGGACUCAGAGCCCACACGGACGCCGGUGGCAUCAUCUUGCUGUUCCAAGACCCCCAAGUGGGCGGCCUUCAGCUUCUUAAAGACGGGGAAUGGGUGGAUGUUCCCCCCUUGCGCCACUCCAUUGUCAUCAACCUCGGGGACCAGCUGGAGGUGAUCACCAACGGCAAAUACAAGAGCGUGGAGCAUAGGGUGAUUGCCCAAACCGACGGUGCUCGGAUGUCGAUAGCUUCGUUCUACAAUCCCGGCAGCGACGCCGUUAUCUACCCGGCGCCAGCCCUGGUGGAGAAAGAAGAAGAAGAAGAGAAGAAAGGAUUGUACCCAAAAUUUGUGUUCGAAGAUUACAUGAAGCUUUACGCUUUGCUUAAAUUCCAGGCCAAGGAACCGAGGUUUGAAGCCAUGAAAGCCAUUGCAACAGCUUAAAAAAUGGAAGUUAAUCUACACCCUAAAAGUCCUUAACCAUAUAUGUACCAACCUGGAAAUCUUAUCGUUGUAAUUUUGGACCACUUCAUUAAUUGUUGGGGGUAAUAUAUAUUGCUACUUCAAUAAUUCCAUCCUUCAUACAGUUUCUACGUUAAACUCUAAAAUAUCUAAUUAUUCUUUUGAUGAUUGGUAUUGAUUUCAUUUACUUGGAUCUGCAAAACUUAAUGCCAUGAAAUUGAUUGAAUAGUUGGCGAAACAAUUGUUGCAAUUUUUGUUUUUACAUUUUAACUUACCAUGCUACCAACUCCAUCCUUUUUAAGCAUAACUCACAGAUGUAGGAUUAUAAACCCCCACUGUCUCCUCCUUUUUCUUUUAUUAUUUCAUACUUCAAUUUUGUACAUCCACAAACAUAUAUGUUUUUUGAACCAACAUUUCUAGCCAAUCAAAUUUCACAAAACCACUCCUCAAACUACCAAAAUUCAUUGAAUAAAACCCACAACUCUGAUUAAUUUCAAAAUUCAAGUUACCAAAUGUUACUUACAUGAAAACUAACCCUACACGUUGUGUAUUGCUAAUGGCUACAAGUCUAAAUAAAAUAAUUGGGAUUUUCUCUAACCUACGUAAUGGGUGAUCAACUCAAGCCUAAACUAAACAUAGAAAUUAAUUUCCAGUUUAAUGAAUAACAUAGGUAGAAAAACACAAAUUCAAACCAAAUUUAAUUAAAAGAAGCCCCACAAUUAGUAAUUAUUGUUUUGGAGUUGUAAUAAAAUUUUUAUCCGACAUGCUUUACUAACAUGAUGAUAUGGGCUACAAAUAUCCAUUAAUAGAUGUAAUUCUUGAUGCAUUGGAAAGCUGACCAACAAAGCUACCGGUCAUAUGGAGAGUGUUUGGUCUAAUUCCCCGGAGGUCAAAUACUUAAGUUCAUCUAACCUCGUACGUUGGUACGAUGGUUAGGGUGUUUACCGUCUCAAAUGUAAGCUGGGUUCGAGUUGUGCUAAUCGCUUAUAAUUCACCAUAAAGAGAAAAACUUAAGUUCACCCAAAAUAAGUGUAUAUGAAGAUGAGAAUUUUAUCUCUCAAUAUAAUACUAAAAUUGUCCGCUCAAUAUCCAUUUAUGAAAACGGAACACAUUUCAUGAUCAUCACGUAGAUAUUUUAAUUACAACAAAAAAAAAAUUGAAUAACAAACACCCAAACUAUAAUUGAUAAUUAGUUUAAAUCGUAAGCAUGUUACUAACAAAUUUUUAGAGGUGAUUGAUUCAAGAUAGUUUGGGUGCAUAAUGUUUUUUCUCAAAUGAAUUAAUUAGUUAUGGGUUGAAAGUUAUGAGCAUAUUAAUAACUUAAAAAUAUUAGUUCGGUAAGAUUUAAUAUGAUUUUUAUUUAACCUAUAUAUUAAUAAACUAUCAAAAUUAUAAAAGUGCGAAUUUUGAAAAAAAAAGUAUUUAAAUGAGAACCAUAAUAUUCAUAAAGGACAUAAGGAAUUAUGAAUGAUCUAAAUCACUAAAAAAAUGUUAAAUUGUGUUGAAUUUAGGUAUAAUUAUUUAUAAUUAUAUAUGUGAAGCAUAUUUGCAUAACCAUAGUAAUUAGUGGAUCAUACUGAAUUAUGAUUACACUCUCCAAUUGUUGGAGGAUGGUGAGAAUAUUUGAAGUAAUUAUGCAUGUAAUUACAAACAAUUACAUUCAAAUGGGAGUAAUUACGUGGGAAUAUAUUUUAUUUUUAUAAUAUAAUUAAUAUACUAAUCUCAUUUAAAUAGUCUAAAAAGUUUUAUUAACCGAAGAUCCUUUUUUAGACAUGUUGAUGUAGUAAAUAUUUAAAUAAAUUACAUAGUAUCUAUUAUUUAUUUAUAUGUGGACAAAGACUAAUUGAGGAUGACAAGGAGUAUAUGUUUAAUAUUAGAGAGGGAAUAAUAACCCAACAAAUAUGGAAUGCUAAAUUGCUUAGACAAAAAAAAAUUAUAAAAUAUUUAUUUUUCAUGUUAAUUUUAUUAAAAUUGUAUAAAAAAAUACUUUUUUGGACUAACAUAUUACAUUUAAAGACUUCAAUUUUAAGUAGAAUUUUUCCUCAAGUAUUAUUGAUAAUAUUUUAUAACAGUUAGUAUUAUUUUUUAGAAUUUCAAAUUAUAAAAUUGUAUAAUUACAUUUUAUAUUACCAUUACCAAAUAUGAAAAAGAUAAUUACUUCGAUUCAAUUAGGUGUUCACGUAACAAAAUAAAUAAUUAAACAAACAAUUAAUAAAGAGUGUGGAUGACCAAGAACUAUAGAAUUUGCUGAUUAAAUGAACCGACGGGAAUGAUGGACAUGUCUCAUUUGGGGCUUAAAAUAAUUUUAUUUUAAUUCGAAUUAAUUAUUAUUCAAUAAAUGUAUUUGUUUUAUUUUGGUUAUUAAAAUGUGUAUUUGUAUAAAUAAUAAUUCAUGAAACUUUCAAUUUCAUUAAAGGGCUUUGAAAAAAAAAAAAAAAUGUCCCCACCACCUUUGGAACUCACCUUGCCGACCUCCAUGCACAUGCACAUGCACUUGCACUUCAAUUAUUUUAUAUAAAAUAAUUAGUUAUGAAUUUGAAUGCAUACAAUCAUUAUCCUAAACUAACUACAUUUUGAUACCUUUUUAACUGUCUCCCACAACCUGAUAUAUAAAAGGAAACAUUGCCUUUGAUUUCAUCUAUACAUCUUUUACCAUUAUUUAAUAAUUGAUACAUCAUUGCCAAGUUGCCAACCCAUCUCUCUUUGUUUUAUUGGUUAAGGUGAGUGCUUUGAAUCCUUACAAAUUUCUCUCAUAUUUGUUCUUUUUAACAUCAUGCUUAAAAUUAUUUAUAGCCUCUCCUCAAUCUAUAAAUAAAAGGGCAAUGCAGUUCACCACACUUGAACCCUCAUCUUUUUAUAUUAACAAUAAUGCACAUUCCAAUUAAGCUAAUACUCAAUUGACAAAUUUAAGUUCAAAUUUUAAUGUGUGUAAUUGCAAGAUACAAAUCUCCAAUCUUAUCGUGUGUAUUUCAUAUAUGAAUUUUGUCUAUUUUUUUUCAAUUUUUCAUCUAAUUUACUUUACAAAAAAUUAAUUUUACACGAUAAUUACUCAAAAAUAUAUAUUAUCCAUGAAUUUGAUUAUCCAUUGAAGGCCAACACAAUAAAUGAAGCGUUCUCAAAUAGGGGUGAGCAAAACUCGAUUCGACUCGAAAAAAUUAAAAAAAAGAAUUCGAAUUUCGAGUUAAACGAAUCAAGUUAUUUGAGUUAAUCGAGUUAUUUUUUUGAAUUUCGAGUUCGAAUCGAGUUGAGUUUUCGAAUUCGAAUCACUCAAAUAAUUCGAGUAAUUCAAAUAUCAAACUAUAAUAUUUUAUAUUUUUACCCCAAGCUCUCAAACCUUUUUAUUUUUCCCUCAAAAACUUUUACUCCUUCCCACUUUCCCCCCAAAACUUUUACUCCCCUCCCAUCCCAACCCCCCAUCUACCCAAAAUCCAUUUCCCACCAAAAUUUUACUCCCAAAACCCCUCAAAAAUUUUUAUUUUCCCCCAAAAUUUUUACUCCCUUCCCAUCCCACCCCCCAUCUACCCCAAACACACCCCCCAAUUUUUUUUAAAUAUUUUCCCUCCAAAAUUUUAAACUUUUACUCCCCAAAACUUUUUAUUUUCCCCCUAAACUUUUACUUCUCACCCUUUAUUCCCAAAUAAAAAAUCAAAAUUAUCCAAAAACAUCUUUAAACAUAAAUAGUAAUACUUUUAUUUAUAUAUACUAUUUAUAUUAUUAAAUUAAAUUUCACAUUUUAUAUUAUUUAUAUUAUUGAAUUGUUUAGUCAUAUUGAAUAUUUAUAUUAAAAUUGAAUUAUUAAUGAUGCCAUAAAAUAUUUGUGUUAAAAUUUUAUAUUGGUAUCAAUUUCACAUUUCAUAUUUAAAAUAACUUUUACUAAAAAAUCACAUUUUUACAUUUAAUAUAUUUUUUUAAUUCCAAAAGACAUAGUGACAAGAAUCUGAAGAUAAUUGAAACAACUAAGCAAGUAAAGAAGCUAACUCGUAUAUAAAAGAUUAAUAAAUAAAUUAUGAGGUGAUGAAAGUUAAUAAAAAAUUUAAUUAUGGUGGACAAAUUUUAUUAUGAUGAGUGACAGUGAUUACAAGGACCUAAAAUUGUUUUUUAAAAUUUAACUUGAACAAAUAUAUUCGAUUCGAUUCAAAUUUCAUUUCACUCGACUCGAUUCGAGAAAAUUUCAAAUCAAAUGAGGAUGAUAAAAUAUAAUUCAUCAACUCGAUUAACUUGAAUUUUUUUCAUUCGAUUUGAUCGAAUGCUCACCCUUACCCUCAAAAGAGUCGAAGGCAACCGAACAUAAGACCCCUAAACAGUAAGCUGAGAACAUAGAAAACCGAAUUUGGUAACUAAGUGAGCUGUACAAACAUGUGGUGAGGUAUUGUUAUUUUAUGAUUAAGAUAGAUCAUGCACAUAGUGUCCACAAUAUAAUUUUUAAUUUAACAAAAGUACAUAUAUAAAAGAAAUAAACUUGUUAUUUUAGCUUUCAAGCAAAAGAACAAAGAAAAAAAAAAGAAAAAGGUGGCUGCUAAAUUUUUUUUUAAUUGAGAGGGAGGAAUUUUCAAGGCUCCUUGAAUAAAUAAAUAAAAAACUAAUUUAAAUGUUAUAAAUUUGAACGGGUUAAAAAUGAGAUUUUCUUAGAAAGAUUCUUCUAGAAUUGUUUUUGUAUUUUGGCAACAAAUUUAUUAUAUGAGUAGAGUUUUUAGAGUAUAAGGUGAAAUAUGUUGUAUUUAAAAUAAAAGGAAAGGAUAGUAUUUAACUCUGCGUGUAAAAUAUCCUAUUCCUUGGGAGACAUUUAAGACAUGUGAAACACGAAUAUAUUUUACUUGUCAAUUUUUGUCUAUGAACUCCGCGUUUUUGCCUAACAACGACGACAUGGCGGCUAACAAUAGGCCCCUUUUUUGGCUGAAUGCCACAUUUUAUAUAUUAAUUCAAACAUACAUUCUUAAAUAAAUUUAAGAGUCAAGCUUUCUUACUUAUAAAAUUUAACUAUAACUUAUCUUGUAUUACAAUUUGACAUUUACUUUUGCUUUUUAAUGUUUGAAAUCAAAUUUUCAAUUCUUGUUCUUUUCAAAUAUGAAAUAGUUAUGGAAUGAGUUUCAUGAUGUGUCAAUCUCUUUCAAUUUUGUUUUUUUUUUACUAAUUACGUCAUUAAAUGAACAAAAAUAGAAUUUAAUUAAAGAAUUUUUUUCCAAGAUCGGAAUUAUAAUUGGAUAGGAGGGACUAAAGGUUUGAUAUUAAAAUUUUUUUAAAAUAAAUCGUAUUUGUUUAGGAAAAUCAAUUUUGAAUCAACAAUUUAAGAAAAAUCGAUUGACAUUGGUAUUGUUGUCAAUACAUAAGGACGUGGGUUCGAGUACGCUGAAGCGCAUUAUCUUCUUAUUUAUAAGUUGGGAGCGGCUAUAGUAAUUUUAGUCAUUGUGUAAAACAAAAAAAUAUGUAAUCAGAAUCUAUAAUAAAAUUAUUAACAAAAAUAUAUUUUUUAACCAAAUAAAUAUAACAUAAAUUUAGUUGACGGUGGAACGGAAUGAAAUUGCUGAUACUUAAAUUUUGGUCAAAAUUAACAAGAAAGAAGUGACUCUUUUAGAGUCAUCAAAAUGUGUGUCCAAAUGCCAACAAUGGACCCAAAGGACCAAAGAGUUGAUAGUUACUUCAAUAAGGCAAUUCAAUUUUAGCAUAGAUUUAACCCCCCAACAUUUGUUUGAAUUUCUUUUAUUUAAAAUAAUUAGAAAUCAUUGAUUAAUUAAAACUUUAAUCAAUUCAACAUAAAAAAUAGAUAAAAAAAAUUGAAAUUGUGACAAAUUUAAAUAUAAUCACUAGAAAAGUCGUAAUUAAUUUGUGACAAAAAUAGAUUAAAAUGCAAUUUUCAUAAAUAUAUUCAUUGUAUACCCAUCUAAAUAUUUUAUCUUAUUAUUUUGCUUUCAAUCACACCUCUUUGUAAAGUAGGUUAUGAUUUAAAAAAAAUUGAAUUUAAAUUGUAAACUUUUUAAAUAUCACAUUUAAUUAAGAAAUGAUUUUAAAAUUGGAGUUAUGCAUGUACUAAUAGUAGUAUUAUUUUCCAAUUUUCCUCCUCGCUUCCUUUGUUAAUUUGUUGAUACCAUUAAUUUUUGACCCACAAGCCGACAUCCUCUUGAAUUAUAUACCUAUAAACCUCACUUGUAACUAUCUAUAAAUAGCCCCAUACCCCUUUCCUCCAUUCUGCAUUAAACAAAUCUAAGCUUUUGCAUAAUAACAUCCCCACCGUAAACAGCCUCACUCUGAGAGUUGUUUAGAAAAAAAAUAAAGUGGUAAGAGAAAUGGCAAAAUUCCCAGUGAUCAACUUGGAGAAACUGAAUGGUGAGAGAGCAGCAACCAUGGAUCUAAUCAAAGAUGCCUGUGAGAAUUGGGGCUUCUUUGAGGUACCGAUUGCUACUUUAUAUGUAUAUAUACUCUAUUCUCCUUGGUAGAUUUUUGCUAAUUAUUAGCGUGGUUCAUUUGGUGCAGGUGUUGAACCAUGGGAUUCCCUAUGAAUUUAUGGACAGAGUGGAAAGCUUGACGAAGGAGCAUUACAAGAAAUGCAUGGAGCAAAGGUUUAAGGAACUGGUGGCAAGCAAGGCCCUUGAGGGUCUCCAGGCUGAGGUUACUGAUAUGGACUGGGAAAGUACCUUCUAUUUGCGCCAUCUCCCUGAAUCCAACAUGGCUGAAAUCCCAGAUCUAACCGAUGAACACAGGAAGGUGAUGAAAGAAUUUGCGUUGAAAUUGGAGAAACUAGCAGAGGAGCUGCUGGACCUGUUCUGUGAGAACCUUGGUCUAGAAAAAGGAUAUCUGAAAAAGGCUUUCUAUGGGGCAAAAGGUCCCACCUUUGGCACCAAAGUUAGCAACUACCCACCAUGUCCCACCCCAGACAAAAUCAAGGGACUCAGAGCCCACACGGACGCCGGUGGCAUCAUCUUGCUGUUCCAAGACCCCCAAGUGGGCGGCCUUCAGCUUCUUAAAGACGGGGAAUGGGUGGAUGUUCCCCCCUUGCGCCACUCCAUCGUGAUCAACCUGGGAGACCAGCUGGAGGUGAUCACCAACGGCAAAUACAAGAGCGUGGAGCACAGGGUGAUUGCCCAAACCGACGGGGCUCGCAUGUCGAUAGCUUCGUUUUACAACCCCGGCAGCGACGCCGUUAUCUACCCGGCGCCAGCCCUGGUGGAGAAAGAAGAAGAAGAAGAAGAAGAGAAGAAAGGAUUGUACCCAAAAUUUGUGUUCGAAGAAUACAUGAAGCUUUACGGUGUGCUUAAAUUCCAGGCCAAGGAGCCGAGGUUUGAAGCCAUGAAAGCCAGGGAAGCAACAGCUUAAAGAGAAUUCAAUACCUGACGUAGCUUUGAGUUUGAUCAAGAAAUGGGUUCUGUUAAUGGUGUAUUAAAGAAAAAAGAAGUCAAUGUUUAGUAUAGUCUAUUGAAUAAUCUAUUUUAUUAUAAACAGUGAGGAUCCUGUCAAUUUCUACCAUAAAAGAUUUGAUAGAAUAAAAUUACUUACAAAGGGAAUGGUGGGUUGCCACAAAGGAACAUGAAGAUAUGCAAUAAUCUAUUUUAAGUGUGUGAGAAAAAAAUAUUAAAGAAAAAAGAAGUCAAUGUUUACCUUAGGUGAGUGUUUUGAUUUAAUACUCUAAACAGUGACGAUCCUAGCUGCGGACCUUCAUGCACUUGCACUUCACUAUAAAAUAAUUAGUUAUAAAUUUGAUUGCAUUAUUUAAUUAAACAUUAGCUUUUAUCAUAAACUAACCACAUUUUGAUACGAAGGGCCCUUUUAACUGUCUUCCACUACGUGUUCUAUAAAAGGAAACAUUGCCUUUGAGAAAGCUAUUAUUUGAUGUAAUUAUUCUUACUAAUUAAGUCUUAAUUCAAUUAAUAUUGGUAUUGUUGUCAAUGUAGGAGGAAAAUGGGCUAUUUGUAGUUCUAGACAUUGUAUUAAACAACAAAGAUCAAAAAUCAUGAUACAUAAAAAAUACAACAUUAAAUUUAGCUGAUUAAUAAUUGGUACAUCAUUGCCAUCCAGGCCUUCGCAUUGUUUGGAUUUUAGGGAUUUUAGUUGAAUAUAAUUUUUUUUCCAUCUAUUGUACUUUAUAAAAAUUUAAUUAUAGACUGUAAUUACAUUAAGCAUAUUAAAAAUGGAAACAAGGGCGAAGGAAGGAACAACCCUCAAUCAUAUUAAAAAUUGAAACAACUCCCUCGUAUGAUACAAUUAUAGUUUGGAAUCCUUCAAAUUUUGAUUUACUACUCUUUUUAAAAAUCAAUCACUAUAAUAAUAUAAUUACAUUUCAAUCCUUAUCAAAAUAUAGUUUUAACCCAACAUAUAAGACCCAGAAACAGAUAACCAAACUUGAUAUCUAAGUGUGGUGAGGUAUUGUUAUUUUAUGAUUAAGAUCCACAUUAUAAUUUUUAAUUGAACAAAGUUACAUAUAUAUAAAACAAAUAAAUAUACUAGUUGUUUUAGCUUUAAAAAAACACACAGAAAAGGAUAACCACACAAACAAAAAAACAAAGGUGGCUGCUAAACAUUUAAAAAGAAAAAAAAAAAGGAGCACAAUUAGGUUAGAAAUUAGUAGAGAGAAGAAAUUUUCAAGACCACUUGAAUGAAAGGAAUGAAACAUCAACUUAUUAUUUGAUCAAAUCCUCACUAUUAUGGAUGUAAUGCAAGUAAGGAUCAAUUCAAAUCAAACUAAUGCCACUCUUUAUUUUCCUUCUAAUACUGUGAAGGCGAAUAGUUUUUUUAGAAGAAAUUAAAUUACAUAUUUUUAUGAGGACUAAUAUAUAAAUUUAUUAUUUUAAUAAUUUAUAUCUUUUUACUUUUUUAAGGAUUAAAUUAAAAUUUUAUCAUUUUCGAGUGCCAUAUACUAACUUAAAUUUUUCAUAAAUUUUUGAGGGGUUGAGGCCCCUUCCAACCCCCUCUAGCAUUGUCCCUGCUUUCUAGUAGCAAAUUUAUUAAGCAUAAUGACUUUUUUGACCCUCUAAUUUAAAAAAAAAUGUCAAUUUAGCCAUCCAUUUAAUUUUUCACCUCUUUUAGCCCUUUAACUUGAAUUUUUUUUGUUAAAUCACCCAAAAAUGGAUGGAAAAAUUAAUGUUUGUUAACUUUAAUGAUGCGGCAUACACAUGGAUUGCCAUGCAUAUAACAUGUAGCAUUUAAUUAAUUUUUAAAAGUAUAUUUUUUUUAUAGUUUUUAUAAAUUUGUAAUAAUUUUAAUGGUUUUAAUGGUUUUAAUUUUGAAAAAUAGUUUUUAUAAAUUUUCUUGAAUUUUUAAAAUUUUUAAAAAUUAAUUAAAUGUUAACGUGUCAUCAUGUUAUGCAACGUCAACAAAGUUAAAAAGUAUUAACUUGCCCAUUCAUUUUGGGGUGAUUUGACAAAAAAAAUGUAAGUUUAGGAACUAAAAAAGGUGAAAAAUUAAAUUGAGAACUAAAAGAAUUUUUUUAUAUAAAGUUGAAAGGUUAAAUAAUUCAUUAUGCGAAUUUAUUAUGGUUGGUUUUUUCACUGUAUGUUAGUGGGGGUUUUAGAUUAUGCAAGCAUGAUUUUAAGGAUGAUAUAUGAAAAAUGUGAUAAGAUUUAAACUUUACUUAUAGAAUUAAAAUAAAUUUUGGUGUCAGUAAGCAAAUUAAACUUUAAAAACUUUUCUGUUUUUCUCCCUUCCAUCAAUUCUCUCUUUCUUUUUUCUCCUUAUUUAUUUCACGUGCCUUCUCUCUUUUCAAUUUGCAUAUAUAUUUUGUAGAUAUCUUUGUUGCCUUCACAAAUUGUAAUGGACAAAUGAUGGUAUCUGUUGAUGCUGAAAUUUCACCGGUCACUAGUAGUUUCUCUUAAAAGUGAGUGGCUCUUCGUUACCUUCUUAAUUUGUUUCUAUUUUGAGAGUAUUUCAAAAUAAUAAAUAAUUUCAUGAGUCACUUUUGGGCACUUGUUUUCUUUAAGCUUUAUGUGGUUUUUUUUUAUUUGUUUUCUAUUAUUUUAAAAAGUCUUUACUUUUAGAAGUUGUUUGCUCUUGUAUCAUGAUUUUUAGUAUUGUUUUUGCAAGUGAUUUUAAGGACGAUUUUGUUGUCAUCCUCUCUAUAGUGUGGUGGAUGCUUAAUUCUUUUGUUGAUUUUUGUCUGCCGCUUUGGACUAUCCGAAGUUGAUUUUCCUAUCGCAUUAAGUGCUUGCAAUCACUCCAAAUAUUUCAUGCUUAAGUUGUAAAAGAAGCCAAUUGUACAUGUCACAAUGUUUAUUUGAUGUUGAUGUUGAGGUUGAAGUUUCUUUUAUGUUGUUGGAGUUUGUCCUUUACCACUUACGAUGACUGUUUUUUCUCUCGAUUUAUAUAAUUUCAUUAAUAGAAUAAAUUAAUAAAUUUCCCUUAAUAAAAAAUAGUUUUGGUUUUUAUUUAAUAAAAUUUCUUAUGACUUAUCAUUCUUCCAGAGGUAUUGGCAAUUUUCCAUUGCUCAUAUCAUAUGGAGUGCAUGUACUCCACAUUUAAAACAUGUCAAAUUUUACCCAAAACAUUCCACACCAUUUUGGAAUUUGAUUUUUCUUUUCCUUUUUAUUUUACUUUUCAACACGUGAUGCGUUUCUAAUACAACUUUUGGAAAAUAAUUUAUAUAAGGAUAAUUUUAAAAGUCAUCAAUAAAAUUUCGUUAUAUUUAAAGAUAUAAAAUUAUUAAUUUUUUUUAAACAUAAGUAAUUAAAAUAAGAGAAAAAAAACUAAAUAACAUAGAAACUUUAAAAUUUAUACAUUUCUUAUUAUUGAAGAUUCAACACAAUGUAUUUUUUACUUUUAAAAAAUGAAAUAAAAACAAUUUAAAAUGGGAAAAAAAAAGAAAAAAAUCACUAUCUAGAAAUUAUUUUUUUAAAAAAAAUUAGUUUCACAAAAAUAAAAAAUAUUAACUUCAGAAAAAAAUAAUUAAAAACUAUAAAAUAAAAAAUAUGUUUGUUUAUAAUUUAAAAAAAAAUAAUUAUUUAAGUAAUUUAAUUAAAGUUAAAUUAGGUUGAAGAAGAUAGUAGAUGUAGAUGAGUGUUAUUUUUAAAAUUUGAUAAUGUGACGAAAUUUUAUUAGUACUUAAAAUUGUAUUUUUUAAAAUAAUCCAAAUAUAUAAUAAUAACCGAGUAUUAAAAAAUUAUACAUUUAUACGGAUUAAUUAAUAAAUGAUACAUUUAUUAUUAGAUCACAGAAAUCUUAAGAACUAAAUACAUUGAACAAACAUGUGGUGAGGUAUUUUGUUGUUUUAUGAAAAAGGAUUACCAAAUUUUUAGCCCACAUGCAAAGGAACAAAAAUAGAGGUGGCUGCUAUAAGGGAAAAAAGAAGAAGCAAAAUUAGGUAAGAAAUUAAUAGAGAAUGAAACAUACAUUUAUUAAGGGUGUAAUGUAAUUAAGAAAAUAUACAAUAUUAAUUUAUAUUAAAAUUCAUUCUUAUUUUUACUUGAAAGAAAUGUUUUGACUUGUCAACUGAAUUACACGUUUUAGCCUAACAAGGACGACAUGGCGGCAAACUACAGGGUAUUGGAGUAGUAGUUUUAAUCGUAUUCAUAUUCAGAUUUUUCCAUAAAAUAAACAUAAACUCCUUAAACCAAGUCCAUCGUCACAUUUAUUUUUUUUAUUUUUAUUUUUAUAUAUAAUUCAAAUUCCCAAAAAUCUAACACUAAGGCAAAUCAUGUUUGUGUUAUUUAUUUUUAAAAAACUUUUAAUUUAGGUAUUCAUGUUUGAAUUUAUUCAUAUUUUAGUCUCCUGUUGUUAAAUUGAUAACAAAAAACCCUUUUUUUAACUUAUAGAAUAACUCAUUUACUCAUCAGUACUUACAUAUAGCGGUGUUCAAACGGUUAGUUCAGUUAAUACUCUAAUUGAAUUACCCAAAAUGUAAACAUAAAUUUUCUUCAAAUACAUUAAUCGAAUCGAAAUAUUUCCGUUAAUUUUGAUUAAAAUAAGUAUAAAACAUAUAAAAAUUACAGUGCUGAUGUUCAUUUUUUUUAAUAGUUCAAAAACUUUAAAUGAAGGGAAAAAAACAAAUAAAAUAUUAGAAUCACUACAUAAAUCUUGAAAGUUAACAACCAAACAAAAAGUUAACAAUUAUUUAUAAUAUUUAUUAUUUAAUUCAGUUAAUUACUCAAUUUCAAACCAAAUUAACCGAUAAUCAAAAUUUCACAAAAUCAUUAAUCGACCUCCAGCCGAACUAAAUUCGGCCACUGAUCGAUAAACCGAAUUAGAUCGGUUCUGUCAGUUAAUUCAGUUUUAACCAAACUAUGAACCCCUUUGCUUACAUAUUAUAUCAAUUUGAUCCGAAUUCUAAAUAAUUCAAUAAAUUUAACCUUUCACAUUUAAAAAUUCUAUCAAUUUGAUCCUCAAAUCAAAGCUUUCAGCUUUUUAAAACAAAGACAUUUCACAUUUAUAAAUUUGUAAAACCCAAAAAAAAAAAAAUUUCUCUUCACUAACGAGUCAUUUUCCAAACCAACUUCCUUUUUUUUUCAUUAGUUUUCUUCUAAAUAUAAUAUUUCUAUAACCUUUUGAUUGAUAAAAUUUUGGUUAAAGAAAAUGAAAAAACAUUAAAGAUUUUUUUUUUUUUGAAAUCAAACUGGGAACUUUUUAUUAAAACAAAAUAAACCCAAACAAGUGCAUAAGCCUAUCAUAGACAAAGGUAAUCAUCCUAAAAAAAACUAAUUGGAGUCCAAACGUCAAAACCAAGGUAGAACACUCUAGAACUAAAGCAAGUGAAAUAAUAAAAUAAGAUAAAAGUAUUGAUAAUCUCAGUCUGCCAUUAGUGAUCUGUCUCCAAAUUUCCCAUUUUCAAUAGUCUUUUGGAUUUUGUUGGAAUCGGAAAUCUGGGAGUUUUGUGACGAGAUUAGAGGGAUGACCUCUCAACUCCCUUUUCAUCAGUUCUUCAUCUAUUCGCAUCAAUCUGGUUCUCUUGGCCGUUCCAUUUCCAAUUGCCAUUUAGAGUAGCUAUAGGGGUGUUUAUUCGGUUAACCGACCCGAAAUAACAUUAACCGAAUUAACCGACCUUUCAAAAUCUUUAAUCGUUAACCGAACCAAAUUUUUUUUCAAAAAAAUUAACCUAACCGAAAAUUAUAUGUUUUUUUUAUUUUUGUUUAAAAAUUAACCGAAUUAACCGAAUUAUCCGAAUUAACCAAAUUGAAUCACUACAUAAUUAAAUUAUUUUUAGACUUUAGACUUUAGUUUUAGUCUUAGUUUUAGAAUUUUAUUUUUAAUUAUUAAAUUAUUUAUAAUUCCUAUGAUUGGGUUGGGUUGAAUACUUGGGUUUAGAUUGGGUUUAGGUGAAUAGUGGGCCUAUUUAUAUAUUAUAAUUUUAUUUAUUAAUUUUUUCGGUUAAACCGAAAAAAUUUGGUUAACCGACCGGUUUCGAACCGAAUUAACUGUUAACCGAAAAAUCAAAAAAUAAUUAACCGACCCCCAACCGAAAAAAUUAGAUUAACCGACCGAUUAAUCGAAUUCGGUCGGUUAACCGAAUUUUUUCGAUUUUACCCGAAUUUUGCACACCCCUAAGUAGCUGGGGACCUCUCCCAUCAGGUAAACUAUUUCUUUUUGCUUUAGGUUUGUCGUGGCUAUGUUAUGGGCUAACUAAUUAGCCGACCUAGGAACAAAGUGAAAAACUAGUGAUUGAAAUCUUUCUUUUUCUUUUUGGAUGUCCCUGAUAUGCGCGCUGAUUUGUGAUUUAUUGAUUGAUCUUGUCAUACAUUUGUUGAUGAUGGAUUUGGAGUCUCCUUCCACUAUUACAUCUAUGAAACCCAUUUCGAUCCCUGUGAGCAUGACUUCAAAACAUGCGAUAGCUUCUACGUCAAAGGCCGUGCCAACCGCCGUAGGAAAGUGAGAUUUAAAAAUCAUGACUUCUCUGUUGGCAUUUCGUGCCAUAAUCGCAGAUGUCGAUUUAAGGUCCAUACAGUCGAACGAGGAUCGAAAUUGAUUUUAAUGGUCUGGUAUCAGGUGAUUUCCAUUUCUCCUUUUCCCCAAUGGUGAUAAUCUUUCUUUCAGCCAAACCAUCCAGUUCAUAAAUGUAAUGUCUGGUGAAAUUUGCUGCUUUUGUUCCUGAGUAAGAUUUUCCUUCAUGCAGAUUUCUAUUCCUGUCAAGCCAAAGCACCCAUAUUUCACAGACAAACAAGCGUCAUUGGAGCUCAGUACACUUGCUAAAAAUCCAUGUAAGCCAUUCUAAGCAAUUUAUUGAUUCCCUUUGGACUAUACAAUCAAAGUUUAAGUUUUGCCAUAUUUCUACUAUUGUAGGGCAUCCGGCAAAGACAUUCCAAAGAGUUCCAAUACCCACCUUGCAUCUGAGGCACUUGUUGCUAUGGGUCAAUCUCCUAACAUAUAAGUUGACCAUCGUGGGGAGGAAAUUCCAAGACACUCUCCAGAGCAUAAUCUUUAUUUUGUUAGGGAUUUGUAGUUCCCAUAGUUGUUUGUAGAAUUGUUUUAUUAUGUUCCGUAGAACAUUAAAUCUAGUUGUAGUAUUUUGGGUCUGUAAUAGUUUAUAGGCACUCCGAGUAGUAUUUUGGGUCUGUAAUAGUUUAUAGGCACUCCGAAAUCGAGCAUGUACCCGAGGGCUCACCGCGCUAUAUGAUCAUAUCAUCAUGCUUGUCGCUCGCUAAUGGGAUCUGUAAGAUUCUGUCCGUAUAAUUUGUCUCAAAGGUAUUACGAAUAAGCUCUUCCUUCCAUACUCUAUUGGUACUGUCAAUUAAACAAGCAACAGUAGAUAAGUCUGUGUUAUUAAUUUGAUUAUAUACUCUAUAAUUUUCUACCCCGGGCAACCACGAAUCCUCAUUAAUUAAUAUGAUUUCCCCUGUACCAACUCUCCAACUCAGACCUUCAUUGAAAAGACUUUUUGCUGCCCAAAUACUUUUCUAUGUGUAUGAUGGUGUGCGUCCUAGCCCAGCCUAUAGGAAAUUAGUAGAAGAAUAAUAUUUUGCUUUUAGAAUCUGUACUAGUAACAAGUCUAGUUUUUCAAUUAGACGUCAUCCUUGCUUGGUGAGUAGGGCCACAUUAAAUUUGGCCAGAUUCUUAAAACCCAAACCACCUUUCUAUUUUAGUUCACACAUUUUCUCCCAGCUACACCAAUGGAUUCCUUUGCGCCCAUGUCCUUUCUGCCAUCAAUACUUAGCUAUUAUCGCUUCCAUUUCUCCACAUAAAGUUUUUGGUAAUAAAAAACACGUCAUGGAAUAGGUAGGAAUUGCUUACAGGACUGAUUUGAUGAAGACUUCCUUAUCCCCUUGUGACAAGAAUCUCAAACUCCAUCCAUCAAUUUGCUUUUUAAUUUGAUCCUUUAAACUUUGAAAGGAUGUCUUAUUUUUCUUUCCUACCAAAUUGGGAAGACCAAGAUACUUCUUAAUAUCAUUCGAUCUUCUCACUUCUAGCAAUCCCGUUACCAACUGUCUAUCAGCUUCUAAGGUAUUAGUGCUAAAAAUAUGGUGGACUUUUCAAAGUUCACACACUGGCUAGAACAUAAUUCAUAUGUUUUUAAAAUUCUUCUAACCUGUUGAGCUCUCUUACUGGCCACACACUGGCCAGAACAUAAUUUAUCCGCAAAGAGGAUGUGAGAAAUACCUACUAGCCUUUAUCCCUUUAAGCUCUUCCAUUCUCAAUGCCGAACGCAUGAGGGAUGAGAGGCCUUCAUAGCAAAUUAGAAAAAGAAAGGGACUAAGAGGGUCCCUUUGAUUAAGUCCUCUCGUUGGCCUAAAACGUUCUCCUUUACCCCCAUUUAGAAUGAUUGAGUAAGAGACUGUCGUUAUACAUUUCAUUAUAAAAUCCACCCAAUGUUGCACAAAACGUAUUCGCUCCAUCAUAAUCCUUAGAAAAUCCCAUUCUACCUUGUCAUAAGCUUUACUCAUAUCAAGCUUGAGUUCCAUGUGCUCUUUUUUUCCAACCCUUUUAUUCUUUAGUGUAUGCAUGAUUUCAUAGGCCACAAGCACGUUAUCAAUAAUUAAAUAUCCUGGAAUGAAGGUACUUUGUGCAUUAUCUAUACAUGUUUCAAAAACAUGUUGAAAUCUAUUAGCUACCACAUUAACUAUUACUUUGUAGAGAACAUUGCAUAAAUUAAUAGGUCUAAAAUUUAUCCUAUUUGUGGGUUGAGAGAUUUUGGGUAUCAAUACAAUGUUCGUGACAUUUAGAAGUUCCAAAUCUCUGCCUUCAAUUAAAAUUUCCAAACAAAAGGAGGUUACCUCUGUACCGAUUACUUGCCAACAUUUUUGAAAGAAAAUUGCUUGAAAGCCGUUGUCUUUAGGAGCCUUUGUAGGGCCCAUUCCUUUCAAAGCUAUCCAGAUUUCUUUAGCGGUGUACUUUGUUGUAAACUGUAUAUUUGCAUAUUCAGUAAUGCAUUUCUCAAUUCCUUGUAAGAACAAUUCGAUGUUGCUUACUCCUCCUAACAUGAACAGCUCUUGAAAGAAGUUUUUUGCUAUCAUCUCCAUCUCGUCCACACCAUUGACUUUUUCUCCAUUUUUAUUGCGUAAGCUUCUAAUAGUAUUAGUCCUAUUUCACUGAGUGGCACACUUAUGGAAGAAUGUCGUGUUUCUAUCUCCCGAUUUCAGCCAAUUGGCACGUGCUCUUUGCUCCUAGUAUGCCUUAUCUUUAUCAAUUUCUAGAUUGAGAUGUAUCUUUGUGUUUAUAAUUUCAAUCAAAUUCCCAUCAUUCCUGUCCUCCUCUAGCAAACUCUCUAAUUUUCGACUUAACUUAUGUUUGAUCCCUACCCUUCCUUUUCAGAUUUGAGUUACCCAUUGAAUAAUUCCCUAUUUUAAAUUUUCAAGUCUAUUCGAUAGUGAUCCUACAGAUUUUUCCCAAAUAUUUGACUCUGUCUUCUCAAAAGAACUUUCUAGUAACUACCAUGCCUCAAACAGAAAUUAAGCCUUAUGGAUCUCCUUACGUUCCUGCUCUGUAUGAAUGAGUAAAGGACAAUGAUCUAAAUGUGAGUAGGGUAAGUAUUAAAUACGAGCAUGGAGGAAAGUCGAAAACCACUCUGUAUUCUCCACCCCUUUAUCUAGCAUUUCCUGUAUGUUCGUUUCUGGUAAGUUUCCCUUUUUCUCAUGUAAACCACAAUCCAGAAAACCCAACAUCCAUAAGUUGACACUAAUCUAGAAUUGUGCGAAAAGCCUCCAUUCUUCUUUCAUCUCUUGGCACCAUUCCUUUCUUUUCGAAUGAAUAUAAGAUUUCAUUAAAGUCCCCACAAUAAUCCAGGGAUGAGUUUGAGUCCUUCCCAAUUGUCUGAGUAAGUUCCAAGUGCUACACCUUUCAUUAGCAAAAGGUGUUCCAUAAAAUCCCGUGAAUCGCCAGUCCUUGUUGCCUUGAUUUUCUUUAAUAAGAGUAUUUAUAUGAUUUUUAGAAUAGCUAAUAAUCGUGACUUGAAUAUCUUGUUUCUAAGCCAAUGAGAGCCUACCAUACGAACUUUCUGCUGAAUAUCAAAACCAUUUAUGAAUUCACAGCUUCUCCUAAUCCUAUCUGUACAAGCCCAAUUUUUAGCCCAAAACCCAAUUAACCCUAAACUAAAUAAAAACAAUUAAACCCCAACUACCCAAUUACAAACCAAAGCCCAAAUCAGCAACCCAAUACCCAACUAGCCUAACCCGAAGCCCAAACCUAGCCCAACUACCCAACUGGCCCAAUCCCUCCAAAGUCAAACUAGGGUUUCAGAAAAGAAACCCUAGCGCCGCAUCUGCUGACCAGCCGCCACUGCCACAGUCAUGUCGCCCACUUGCCCUGCCACCGCCGCUUCUGCCGCCGCACGUCCCAUCGCCACUUGCCUACAAAACGAGAGAAAGAAAUGACAAGUAAUAAAUAAAAAAUAUUGUAAAAAUGGCUAUAAAGCCAUAGCAAAAAUUGUAAAACAAGGUUCCCCCCCCUUUUCUCUCGAUUUGAAGAAAUAAAAAAACAAAAAAAAAACAGAUUCAACAACCCCUUUUCGGUAUAUUUAUUUUCUUUUUCUAAUUUUAAUUUGUUUUUCUUUAUUUUUUUCUUUCGAAUUAUUUGUGUUCGAUUUUGUUUCUUUUGUUUUUUAAAACUAUAUAUAUAACAUAUAAAAAAAGCAGAAAAAACAUACCUUUUGAUUUUUCAUGCCACCGUGUACUGUGGCCGGCGCGACGGCGUCGUCGGCGGAGGAUUGCCGGAGCCCAUGGCCAGACUUGGGGCCUGAGAGAGAAUGAGAGAGCUCUCUCUCUGUUUUUUUUUAAAUGAUGAAACUGAUUUGUUUUUUGGUUUUUCUUAUUAUUUAUACUAAACAUGAAACGACGUCGUUUUGGUGGGGAGGAUCCGCGUGUUGACCUGACCCAACCGCCUAGGAUCCGCGUGUUUUCUAGCGCAUGGGUAAUUUGCGCACGCGGUCCUCCCUCUUUUGCGAUGGUUUACAAUUUGGUCCAUAGUUGUUGUUUCUCUCUUUUUUAAUUUUGCUGUAUACUUUUUAUUUUGUUUCACUUUGGUCCAUAUUGCAGUAGGGCAUUCCGUGGGCUGGGGAUAAUUUCCCAUUUGGCCCUCCGUCCUUUCGCGCCUUGUCAUUUUGGGCCCACUGUGUCUAUUUUAUUAUGGAUUCGACCUUUAAAUUUUAUUUUUAUCAUGAAUUAGUCCAUUUUGCCUUUUUUUUUAAUCUAGCUAUUAUCAUAUAUUUUUUUUCUUUUUUUUCCCCUGUUAGUUACGUAGUCAUUAAUAUUAUAACAUUAUAUCAUAUUACUAGCGUUGCAUUAUUAUUAUUAUUAUCGUUAUUAUUAUACUUAUUUUUUAUGUAUAUAUAUGUAUAUUUUUACGAUUACUACUAUUAUAUCAUAAGUUUUAAAUUAUUAUUGUUAUAUUUUUAUUUUAUAUUUACUUAUUUAAAUUUAAAUAUAUUUUGUCCUAUUAUUAUUACUAUUAUAGCUAUUUAUUUAUAUCUUUGUAUCUUAUUAUAUAUAUACCUUUAUAAACGUUUUUUAUAGCUUAUAUACAUACGUUUUGUUAUAUAUAUUCAUAUAUAUAUACCUAUAUAUAUAGACUUUUUAUAUUUAAUGAUUGUUGUAUAAGUAUAUAUGUAUAUACAUACACUUACAUAAUUUUUCAUGUAAUAAUACGUACAUAUGCAUAUGUUUUUUUUUUAUAUUUUCAUAAUUUUAUACAUAUAUAUAGAUGUAUAUAUAUUUUUAUAAUUUUGUUAAUCUUGUUCAUUUAUUUAUUUACAUGUCCGUUAUUAUUAUUUGUUAUGCUUUAUAUUUGUUUAUUAUUGUACAUACGUGAUCGAUUUUAUUUAUAUAUAUGCGACUUCUUAUUUAUUUAUAUUUUGUUUUGCUUAUAUUAUUUUAUUUACAUCAUUAUCAUCAUCAUUCUAUUACACCCAUUUUUUUUUAGACUUCAAAAAAGAAAUUUUAAAAAUAUAAGUAAUAUUCGGUAUUUUGGAUCUUCGAGAGAAUCGAGCCCUAACGUAUUGGGUUCCGACUUUCUUCGUUGAACUUAAAUAAUCGAGAUUACUCUUUUAAAAAUGAUAAAAGCUCGUUAUCGAGAAUUCAAUAUGUUGUGUCCUAACGCAUUGGAUGUGACACGUUGUUUUCUCGAAACGAGGAUUUUUCGAAAUAAAUAUAAUAUUCAAUGUUUAAUAUUUUGAUAAAUUGUGCCCUAACGUAUUGGGUUGCGAUUUCUUCAUUUGAUCUAAACAAUUGAAUAUUCUCUUUUACACGACUCUUGUCAAACUCAAGUUUUAAACGAUAUCGGGAACUAAAAAAGGAUCGUGUCCUAACUUACUGGUCGUGAUCCCUUUUUUAUCCAAAAUAGUUAAAUAUCUUUUGAACAAGCAUUUUCAUUCGCCUAUCGGGAAUUCGAGACAUUGUGUCCUAAUUUACUGGAUAUGAUUCUCUUUCUCGAAUAACGUGAAACAUGCCCUUUUCCUGAAAAUUUUCAACGUUUUAAUACAAGGAUCGUAUUUUUAAAAUUUUCCAAAGUUCUCAAUUUUUGACAUUAAGACAUUAAGUAAUCAACUAAGGUACCAAUUUUGGGCGUAUCGAGGGUGCUAAUCCUUCCUCGUGCGUAACUGACUCCCGAACCCGUUUUCUAAAGUUCGUGGACCAAAACCGUUGUUUUAAUAAAAUCAAAUUAUUUAUUAAAAACAACUUUUUUCAAGGUGACCCAAUCACACCUCAAAAGGAUUGGUGGCGACUCCCGUUUUUAUUUUCAAAAUCCAAGUCGACCCGUUUUCAUCCAAAAAAUAGUGUCAACACUAUCUAUACGAGUGCCAUUCACUUUUGUCUCCAUAAAGAAGACCAUUUGGGGAUUAUGUUGCUUCAGUGUGAACUGAAGCCUUCUUAUUGCUCGAGGACUCCCCAAUCCUUGAACAUUCCAACUUAUUGUUUCAUUGGGUCCGGUCGGCUUGCCUAUUGGCAAUUGCCGAUCCUAAUUGGGAAGACAGAGCCAUUUAAUCUUUCGAUUUCUUCAGGGAGUGGUAGUUUACCCCAUCAUCUUCAAAUCGCACUUUUUUAUGAUUAUUCUUAAUGACUGAACAGAUCUCGGUAUCGUCUUCUUCAGCUGAAAAAUCCUUCCUCUUACAUGUUACGUUUUCCAUCUGGACAUCAUUAAUCUGCCCUAUCCUUCCUAUUUUUUUCCAACUUAACUUUUUUGGGUUUUCUAUUUUCUUAUCUCAGUUGCACUAAUAUUUGUCUUAAAUUUUGCUGAAUCCCAAGGCUGUUCUAUUUUUGUAAUUAAGUCAUUAAAAUCGAUAGUUCCAGAUUCAAUUAAGUCAAGACGACUUUGAUUAUUUGUCUUAUUUUCCUCAAACUUGAUGGGUAUUUCCUCAGGUCACAGAUCUGUCAAAAAUAUUUCCUUUUGUAAUUUUUCCUACCCUUAUUGUGUUGCUACCUGCUUCUUGCUUGUAAUGAAAUAUUUUAGAGAAUUAGUUCCAGAUGUGUCCAAUCCUUCAUUCUCCCUAGUAUAUAAACAUUGUUUCAUGGAUUUUUUUACUGAAACACCCAAUUGGAGACUUUCUUUACCAACUAGAUUAGAUUCAGCUUUCAGCGCCAGUGAGUAAGGGAGGUCAUCUUCCCUUUUUUCCACCUCCAAAUUUGAGAUCUCCUUACAAUCUUUCGCUACAUGUCCCAUACAACCACAACCAAAGCAAAAAUUCGAUAGGGCUUCAUAUUUAAAGGGGAGCCAAACUUUUCCUUGAUCGCCAGUUGUAAUAAAAAUUCCCCUCUGAAGUGGUUUUCGAGCAUCUAGCUGAACUUUCAACUGAAAAACAUCACUUUUUAUCUCCAACCUUAAUAUCCUUCCAAAAGUCAAACCUAUUGCGUGCAUCAAAUCUUUCUUUUCACAUUCUGGUGGGCAAGGGCCAAUUUUGAGCCAAAACGGGGAGAAAAUUAAUUUGAUAUUGCUUCUUUCUGUCGCCUCCUUCAAUUUGUCAAAAAUUAUCAAUUGUCUUCUAAAUAGCCACGGUCUGUCUUCCAUAAUCAUCUCUAAAUUGUUCUCUUCCUUGAAUGAGGUCUGAAAUAGAUUUUUCCCAACCACUUGGAUUUCAAAUUUUCUCCUAGUUUUCCAUAUACUUCUCAACUGUGCACGAAAACUAUCUGGGUUGUAUGAUUUCCUCGACCACACAGAGCAUAAUAAUGAUAAGGUACUUUUUAGUACAACCAAAGAGCUAUUUACUGUCAACUGUAUUAGUUCUUCUGCUAAGAGGGAGAUCUCGUCUCCCGCCAUCUCGGAAAGAAGUCACCGCCCUACUCCACCCCAACCAUAGCCAGUCUUGUUUCUUUGGGAUAUUAAGAGAGAGCACUCUUGACCUAACCUUAAAAAAAACUCUUUAGAUUUAGUUGUUGUUUGAUAAACUCAAAAAUUAAGUGCUGAAAAAAUAAGUAUUAAAAAUUGAAGUAUUGAAUUUAAGUUACAAUUGAAGUAUUGAAUUUAAGUUACAAAAUUGUUUGAUAUAUUACUUAAAAUUAAUUAUGCAAUAUAAUUAAAUUGUUUGAUAAAUAUAAAAUUUAAAUUAUAAAGAAAUUAUAUUCUACAUUUUAUCCUUAAUUUUUAAACAUUUCACUUUAUUUUUAAAAAAAUCAAAUUUUAAACACAAAGUUUUUAUAAGAUAAUGUAAUAUUAAAAUAAAUAAAAUAUAAUUGAAUUAAUUAAAAAUAUUUCCCUAAUAAAUAGCUCGUCUACUUAUUAUUUUCCACACCUUUCUUAUAGAAAAAAUUCUUUCAGGUUGUUUUUAUUUUGGAUUAUCAAACACGAAUAACAAAUUAAAUAUAUUGAAAAUUAAUAUUUUUAAUAGAUUUAAAAAUUUUUCAACAAUCUAUCAAACAAGGCUUUACUCUUGUUGUUAACAGUAUGAUAUUUCCUUUAAGGUACAUAGAAAUAGUUCUCGAAGUUGGUCCUUGAAAUUGGAAACUAAAUCCAGAGUUAAAAAAUAUGGAUUUGAAAAAUUCAAUUGUUUAAUUGUAUAAGAAAAAAUAUAACAUUUAAUUUUUCAUAAGAAAAAAAAAGGUGAAAGAAUUAAUUGAAUUUCUUUUUGUUACAUUGAUUAUGAUUUUUUUAGUUAUAAACUAAUUAAUAGAUUAUUAUGUGCUUCAUUUAUUUUUACUUAUUUUUUUAUUUUUAAAUCCACAAUAAGUAUUACAUAUCACCAAUAUUUUGAUUUAGUGUAAAAUAAUUUACCAAAGAAAUUAAAAACUAAAAUUAUUCUAGUUAGAGUGAAAUUUUAAUUUUUACAAAUAUUAAUUUAUUUCUAUAAUUUUACUAUUUAAUAUGUUUUUUAAUUUAUAUUUUCUAUUAUUUUUAAUGUUGUUUAGUUAAUUUCUAACGGCAACAUCUUGAAAAUAUAAACAAAAAGGGUACUUAUUGUAAUAACUCAAAUUUGCUCAGCCCAAACCAGAAAUAAAUAAACAAAAAUAAAGACCAAAUGAAAAUAGUCCAAAAAUAGUCCAUUUACACUGGGCUCAAUAUGGCCCAAACUAAACACAACCCACUACCCAAAAUCAAGCCCGAAUAUCCCUAGCCCAAAACUGAAACAAAAUAGAAACCCUAGGGUUUCGGAAAUGGCACGAGCGCCGCAACAGUGACCCCCAGUACCGCACACCUUCGUACGUGCCACGUCCGCUCCUCCCACGCGCGUCUGCCUCUUCACGCACGUAGCGCCACCACGAGCCUCCAGCUGGCCUCCGUACGACCAUACCUGCGCAACACACAAACAAACAGCAAGAGAAAAGCAGAGAAAAAAAGGAAAAACAGAAAGAAAAAAGAAAUUCCUAUUCUUUUUUAUUUUGAUUUUUCUUUUUAUUUUCGGGUUAUAAAACCCCCAUGGAUGUACUCGAUUUUUUUGAGGGCACGAAAUCAAUACAAAAAAAGAAGGUUUUCUUUUUCUUCCGUUCUGUUUUCUUCUCCGAUGGCUUUUCUUUCUUUUUCCGUUUGUUAUUAACCUCAUAUAUAAAUAUAUAGAGAGCAAAUAAAAGAAAAAAGGAUGGAGUUAGAGGUCUUACCUGGAGACGCCCUCGGAUCCGCGCGAAAAGGAGCCGAAAAGCCCUUUAUGGUGAGACCACCGUUCACGGUGGAAUUGUGGCGGAGGAGCGGUGUAAAGAGCUAGGGCCGAAUCCCUAGCAGAGAAGCUUCAGUUUUUUUUUUAUUUCAAGAGCUGUCAAAUGUUUUUUAAGAAAAUUUGGUUUAAAUAGAAAUUCCAAAUGACGCCGUUUAAGGCCUAUGACCCGAUUACCAGACCCGCUCCAUGGGGGAUCCGCGCGCCCCUAUUAAUUGGGUUAUUUGCAACCCCGGUCCCUUCGCCUUUUAUGAUUUUGCGAUUAAACUCUUUUUUAUUUUUUUAUUUUGCCCUGAAAUUUUUGUAUUGUUUUAUUUUAGUCCUUUUCGAAACGCUGCGCAUAGAAAGACUGGGCUAUUUACUGUUUAGAUCCCUGCUUCUUUGCACGUAUUGUAAUAUAGUCCCUUAGUUUUUAACCGAAUACAAAGUUAAUCCUUUUAUUUUUAUUUAUGUUUGCUGCCUAUUUAAUUUUGUUUUACUUCAAUUUAAUUUUUGUUCCAUUAUUUUAUUUUAUUUUGUUAUAUUUUUCUUUUAACUUUGUUGCAAUUCUAAUUUAGUUUUUUAUUACUUUAAUUUUAAAUCUAAUUAGUUAUUAUUUUUGACAUAUUUAUUUUUAAAUAUAGUAUUAUUUUAGUAUUUAAUCUUAACAUUGUUUUAAAUUUCUCAUUAGUAUUGUUUUAAUAUAUAAUAUACUAUUAUUUUAAAUUACCAUUAAUAUUAUUUAAAUUUAUCAUGCAUCAUAGUUUAAAAUUUAUCAUAUACUAUAGUUUUAAACUUAUCAUAGAUUAUUAUUUAGAUGCAUUAUAUAUUCAUAUUUUUAAGUUAUCAUAUGCUAUUAUUUUAAAAUUACUAUGUAUUAUUACUUAAAGAUAUCAUAUUCUUUUUUAUGUUUUUGUAAAUUCAAUAUAAUUUGUAUAUUUUAGGGUUUUAUUUUAUACUGUAUUUUGAAAUUUACUUUUAUGUAUUUCUUUGUUUUAAAAGACCUAUAUAAUAAUAUAUUUUUUUACAAUGUUAUAUUAUAUAUACCUAUAUAAUUUCCCUUCAAAUUAUUUUUUUUUUACUUUUUAAAACUUGUUGCGUUUUUGUUGUAUAAUUUGCUUGGAGCUUAGUUUAAGAUUAGUUUUUAGUUCAUUAGCUUUCGAAUAUUAAAGUUAUUAUUUGUAUAUAAUGUGAGAUAAUUGCUCUUACGUGUAUUGUAUUGCUUGCUCGUAUCUAACGAUUCUUUGAUGUUCAUUAGCAUACAUUUUAAUUUACGAAUCACCAUUUCGCGUUGUAUGUUUUUACUUGUUCAAAAGAUUAUGUUUAAUAUCACUUAAGUAUCAAAAAUAAUUUUAUACAAAAGUCUUUCAAAAUAACGCGACACUCGGAAUUUGGGAUCCUCGAAAAGAUUGUGUCCUAACUUACUGGAUUCCAAUCUUCCUCGGGAUCUAAGAAACCGAAUAUCGUUUUUAAUUAACACACAAAUAAAAAGCUCAUUCUCGGGAAUUCGAUAUGUUGUGUCCUAACUCAUUGGAUAUGACAUAUUAUUUUCUCGAGACGAGGAUUCUUCUAACAAAUAAAAAUAAAGGCAAUAUUCGAUAUUUAGGAAUUUUGUGAAAUCAAACCCUAACUUACUGGGUUUUGAUUUUCUCAUUUGACCCCAAAUAAUCAAAUAUCCUUCUUAAAAUGCAUAGGUUUUAAAAGUCAAAAGAUAAACUUAAUUUUGAGGAUUUAAAAUGUUACACUCUAACUUACUGAGUGUGACAAUUUAUAAGUGAGUCUAAUCAUCCAAUCCAUUUUAUUCAAACUUUCUUUUCAAAGGAUUGUAUUUUAAAAUCUUUUUAAAUUUUUGACACUAAGACAUUAAACAAUCAAUUUGGUACCAAUUUUGGGCGUUACGAGGGUGUUAACCCUUCCUCGUGCGUAAUCGACUCCUGAACUUGUUUUCUCAAAUUUCGCAAACCAAAACAAUUUUUAAAUGGUGAACCGAUCACACCUCAAUAAAAGAUCAGUGGCGACUCCCAUUUAAUUUUCAAAGUCGAUUCCUAUAUUAUUUUUUUUAAAAUAAAAAAAUGGUUUCGACACUUAUGUACCAAAUUGAAUAAUUUCAACCAUAAAUAAAACAAUUAAAAUGUGGAGGUUAAACUGAUUAAAUUAUUUAAAAUUAGGAUUAAAUUGAUAGAAUAAGUAAGUAUUGAGGACUAAAUGUGUUAUUAUACUAGUUAGAAAAAAGCUUUUCGCUUUCAAUUUAACAACGGAUAACCAAAACAAAAACAAACUCAAACAUUAGUGCUAUUUUGAAAAUUCUUAAAGUUGAGCGACCAAAACAGGAACACAGACAUAAUUGCGUGACCAUUUAUAUAAUUUAUCCUAAAUUUUAAUUUUUAUGAAAUAAAUAGACCAUAAAUUUAUUUGACGGUCAAUGGUGUGAAAGAGCUGUGCACCUUCCUUUGGUUACCAAUAAAUUCUUAACUUAAUCAAAGGAUUGGUCCAAACUUAAUUUUGGUCAAAUAUUAAGAAAGAAAUGGCUGAAAAAGAGCCAUCAAAAGGUGUCCAACCCCAACACACAAAGCUCCUAAGAGUUGAUAGCUACUUCAACAUCGGAAAUCAAUUUUAGCCUUAGAUUUUGUUAGAUUUUUCUAAUAUACUUUUAACAAGUAUUUUAUAUUUAAAUUUAUAUAUUUAGAGUUAAAUGGCAUAAAUUUGAGCAUGGCUUAUAUACGAUGAUAUUAUACAUGAUAUUUGUUUAUGAUAAAAUUCGACUAUAAACACUCAAAUAUAAAAAAUUUCCAUAAAUAUAUUAAUUAGUAGAUAUUGUAUCCACUUCUAAUUAUAUUAUUUUAUUAUUUCACUUUCAAUCAUACCUUUUUGUAAAGUAGGUUAUGACUUAAAAAAAAAAGUCUACUUUUUAAACACCACAUUUAAGAAAUGAUUUUAAAAUUGGAAUUAUGCAUGUACUAGUGUUACGGGACUAGAUCUUUCAUCUCGCGAUUCAUGCAGCCUUAGGCGAUCUGUUCGUCAAAACUCGCCUAAGUCAGUCUUUACUUAAGUGAGGAUUCCUUUAAAAGUCCUCUAAGGCACUAAUUUGUAUAGUGGAAGCAAUUUAUGCCAAAAGAAGCAACAAAAAACAACAGAAAGAACACCCUCCAAGUGUUUGAGUAAAUACUCUCAAUAUUCUCUUAUUCACAAAGAAUAAUGAAACAAUGAAUGGGGUGAGUACAAAUGAGGGGGAGACUCUUUAUUUAUAGUUGAGCUCCCCCAAAACCGACGAUUAAGAUUACAAUACAUCGACAGGCGAGAUUUAUCUUUAUCCCUUAAACCAUGGGAUUUACAAGAUAUAUCUAAUCCAAUCUAAUCUAAACUUUACAAGAUAUGAUUCUAUCAAUCUUUUAAAAUUAGUUACCAAAAUAGCCUAAGUUGCCAUCUCUUCACUAUCGGGCCAACUAAGAUUUAAUUCGACAGGCUUCUCCAAUAACUUACCGAAUCAGGUUAAUUCUUGCGGGUCAAAUGAUUCCCAUCUACACAAUAGAUCUCCAUCGAAUGCAUUUGGUGCGAUGGUCACAGGUUUUGAACUGCGGCCAUGACACUAGUAAUAGUAUUAUUUUCCAUAUUUCCUCCUUUCUUCCUUUGUUAAUUUGUUGAUACCAUUAAUUUUUGACCCACAAGCCGACAUCUACUUGAAUUAUAUACCUAUAAACCUCACUUGUAACUAUCUAUAAAUAGCCCCAUACCCCUUUCCUCCAUUCUGCAUUAAACAAAUCUAAGCUUUUGCAUAAUAACAUCCCCACCGUAAACAGCCUCACUCUGAGAGUUGUUUAGAAAAAAAAUAAAGUGGUAAGAGAAAUGGCAAAAUUCCCAGUGAUCAACUUGGAGAAACUGAAUGGUGAGAGAGCAGCAACCAUGGAUCUAAUCAAAGAUGCCUGUGAGAAUUGGGGCUUCUUUGAGGUACCGAUUGCUACUUUAUAUGUAUAUAUACUCUAUUCUCCUUGGUAGAUUUUUGCUAAUUAUUAGCGUGGUUCAUUUGGUGCAGGUGUUGAACCAUGGGAUUCCCUAUGAAUUUAUGGACAGAGUGGAAAGCUUGACGAAGGAGCAUUACAAGAAAUGCAUGGAGCAAAGGUUUAAGGAACUGGUGGCAAGCAAGGCCCUUGAGGGUCUCCAGGCUGAGGUUACUGAUAUGGACUGGGAAAGUACCUUCUAUUUGCGCCAUCUCCCUGAAUCCAACAUGGCUGAAAUCCCAGAUCUAACCGAUGAACACAGGAAGGUGAUGAAAGAAUUUGCAUUGAAAUUGGAGAAACUAGCAGAGGAGCUGCUGGACCUGUUCUGUGAGAACCUUGGUCUAGAAAAAGGAUAUCUGAAAAAGGCUUUCUAUGGGGCAAAAGGUCCCACCUUUGGCACCAAAGUUAGCAACUACCCACCAUGUCCCACCCCAGACAAAAUCAAGGGACUCAGAGCCCACACGGACGCCGGUGGCAUCAUCUUGCUGUUCCAAGACCCCCAAGUGGGCGGC